GCAGAGUCAAUGAGAAUAGGAUUGUGAUCCGAGUGUGUUCUAGGCGGAACCACAACAUAGGCUUAAGGGAAUUGGAGUUUGCAGUCGUCAUUCGUGCCCUAUUCUCUCGUUUGAUGUUGAAGCCAUGACCAUGGACCAAAGUGAAUCUGAAGUCUAGCUACUUGAACGAAAAGAGAGGAAAGAGCAAGCUAUAGCGUAUCUACUGGCCGACGGUCGAGUCCUCGACUUACCUCUUGGUGAAGCUGCUCGAGUGAAAAAAGGGAUGACUUGGAUUAUUCUUGGCGUCAGAGAAAGCGCCAACGAUCUUUAGAUAUAGAGUCUCCAUCUCUUAUCCCACCAACUAAGGCAAGCGAAGUGCAUUUCAUUCUGCUGUCUUUAUCCACAUCAUCAUCAUCCCGAACCUCCCCUCCCGUUCGUUAAGAUGCCUUUCCCUCAAUACAUGGAGAAUCUUGCUAUCCUGUAGAAGAAGAAGAAAGAUGAAUAAGUAACUGGAUUAUACCAUUAUACCUAUCAAUAGUAUAGUUUCGGCACAUAAGAAGAAAGGGGAGUUUGUAAGGUAUUAAUAUCUCCUACCAUGAGUUUUCUCUUUUGGCAGUAGCUCGAUCGGUACACUGGGCAACGGGCAGACCAAACCACCAACUUAAGAACGGAUAGGCGACAGGGGCUGCAUUGAGAUGAUGCCUUAUAGCUUCUUAGUAGACCUUGGGCAGACUUAACUACUCAGCAGAAACCACACAAGACCUGUUACUUCACCCAUAAACCUCCUUCGAAAGGAAAAACGGAAAGAAAAAAGCAGAUAAUCCGAUGAUUGAUCAUAAGCGAAUGGUUCUGUAUCAAAUGAAUGGUUUUUUCGCCCUUGUAGUUGCACUCUAUUCCACUAUGCUCCGCUCAUGCACUAGCCUUUCUCUUGAACUGAGCGACCCGACCCCCAUCUUCUCUCAAUGGAUCUACUGAUAAGGGGCUUCUUUGUCCACAUCAAAAUCAAGCGAAAAGGUUCAUAUCAAUUGCUCUUAUCUUAUUCUUCUCCCAGAACGAGCUUAAGCCAACCAACCUAGAUCAAAAAGCAAAGUGACGAAGUGUUCUUUGGAACGAUGUUACCUUCUUACCUGCCUCUACGGGUGGGUCUUGCUUGCUAAGAGCUUCAUCUCUCACUCUUCUCUUCUUUAUUUACGCAACGGACUUUGCCUACUCUCCCAAAUAAUCCGAACGGUUCUAUCUAUUUGGGUCAUUUUAUCCACUUCCUUUUCGCAUUAUUUACUUAUUAUAUGAAAUGAAAGCUUUGACUUGACUCUGAUCCAUAAGUGGACUCACUACUUAGAGCUGAGAGAUUUCUCAGGGAGCCUUUAACUACCUAAGAUACCUAAACAAAAGGAUAGCAGAGACAAAUCUACGAACUUGUAUCUACAUCUAUCUGACCUGCCAAUAUCUUUUAUUACUGGUGGAACCUUAUAGUAGCACCAUCACUCUUCCUAUUUGAAGUAGGCCGGUAGCUUUCGAAAGGCGCUUUCUUGGCCAAGAGGGGCCUUGCCUUGAAUUGGAGGCUUUUGCUAUCGGUCAUUCAUUCACCUAACUCGAUUUCCUUCCUACUCUGCCUAGUGGUCUGGGGUGCAAGUUUCUUUCGGAAAGCAGUUUCGUCUCUUUCUGUGAAUAAGAAAGACACAACCUUUUGAUUGACUCUGAAUUCGUCCCUUACUAUAGCAGCUCCACUUCUGAAAUCACUCACUCGUCCCUUACUAUAGCAGCUCCACUUCUGAAAUCACUCACUAUAGUUUUUGGGGUGUAUUGAACAAAAGAGGGGAAGAGCCAACUGUAGUAAUCUUAGCAUACACUAUUAUCAUACAUCACCAGUAGCUUCCUUGUUCUUCCUACUUCCCGGGCACUACUUAUUGUUAUUGGAUACCCAAAAGCUCCAGGUUACUUCUUGCAAUGAACAGCCUAAUCGAUCUUGCUAUGAUCAGCCUAACUGGGACGAGAAAGCCUUAGCUUCAGGAAUAUGAUAGAGUUUUGUCCAACCGCAAGGCGUGACCUUGAUAUAGUAGUCCCCGGAGCGAGUAGGCGCUUGGUCUAAGUUACAAGCAUGCGCUUAUGCUCUUCUAAAAGGGGCUAGGAAUACUCUUAUAGGAAAGGCAGAAUCAUAGGAAAGGCAGAAUCAUAAGCUAGAAUGCUUACAUAUGAGAAGCUUCUACCUACCGCCUUGGGCUUUCAUCAACAUGAAUCUUUAGCCGGUUGCUUAAGUGUCUUUUCUUUUAUUCCCCCCAAAAAAAGAAACUCGAAUGGACUUUGUCGUUGGUCAUUCGUGAUCGACUGCAUUAAUAUGCUAAUGUAUUACGAAACGUAGUCCUUAUUCUUAGUAAUCGCUGUUCUUCCUCCUUCCUUCAUACUAGGAGUAUAUUGCCGUUCUUCCUUCCCAUUCCACUAGCUAUGAUCGAAUUGUUGACUCUGCCAGUAAUACUUUGCUCUUGGAAGUAAUGGAUUGAUUGUUUUCGGUGCGGGGCAGACUCGAACGCUGGAGGUCUCGGUCGACUCAUCGGAAGAGGAAGGCUGCGAGCUCUUCAAAGAGGUGGAUAUUUUUGACACCUAAAGCUCCUUAUAACGAAUAGAGUUUUGUUGAUAAGGAACGAAUGAAUCUCAGGCCAGGCGAACAACACAACACCGGAAAUGCCUUCAUUAGAAACUAUUGUGGCAGCGAUUACAACCGGUAUAGCCAUCGAUCGAGCUAUCUAUUUCAUCACUCAUUUCCAGGUCCACAUCAUAACAUAAUCCGUCUAUCAUUUCCAGGUCCACAUCAUAACAUAAUCCGUCUAUAAUAUGCAUCCAACUCACCAGAGAAAGACGGAGACUGCUGGCCGGGCGCUCCCGAACCGAUAAGAAGAAUACUUUGGCUCGAGCUCUUGUAUGUAAAGUGGAGGUCGUAAAGGGGAGCAAUGCGGGGCUGAAUGGUCAAAUAAGUGGGGAUCGAAUUGACCUGACCGAACAAGCUAGGAAUUCCACUACCCUAGUCUAAGAUUAGGACCUUUGUGUCUGCGCAGCCUCUUAGUUGAUCUGGCUCGCUUAGCCUUAAGCCUUGACAUUCUCUACGAGUCGAAGAUGGCCUAGCCAACAUGUUACAAGCUUCGCCCACGCACAAGCAAGAGAAGUACUGCCUUUUUCUAUUUGCAACUUACAUCUUAUAGGCCCCUUUUGUUUAAAGUGUGUUCUGGUGCUUCAAACAUAAGGAAAAGCUAUGUCUGGCACAAGUUCCUGCUCCCCGGGAAUCUUCAUCUAAUAUGAAUCUAAUAUCAUAUAAGAAAUAGGUAUGGUGGGCUCUAAUAUCUAUUACUCAACCUCGAUUUCUCCACAUAGAAAUUCUUAGCUGUCUUAUGAUUCUCUCCUUAACAGUUAGUUAGCUGUCUUCUGAUUCUCUCCUUAACAGUCGACCCUCUCUCUAUUCCUUCUCAUAAGUCACUUCCAGAGAAUAAGUAUUCCCACUCAGAAGUCAUUUCCAGAGAAUCAAAAAGAAGCUAGCCCGAGCCCAAAUUACACGAUACGUUCUUAUCCGAGAUUUCACUCCUUAAACCACGAAUAAAGCUUAAGUAAACUGCAACCUUCUUCUCAUACCCAAUUCCGCUUCUUUCUUCUUACGUUCAGUCCUACCUCAAUUAGAUAAGCCCUAUUCUAAAGCAAGUAACAGUGCUAACUUUCCAAAUAAGGAGAAAAUGAGCACAGAAACUCAAGACUGACCUGCACUUAGGAAAAACCCUUCCGAUACCGGUCGAGCUGGUCUAUCUUUAUUUACCUCCGCCUUGAAACUAUCUCUGUUUGGAACAGUGUGUGAGCCCUGACGAUUUACCUCACAUUUUAGGUUCACCUUUAUGCUAGCCAAAUCUCAACCUCCAUUAGUUAAGGUUUAGUUAUUCUUCAUUCGGCCCCUGUCUUUUAUUAGCUUCUUUCUUUAGCCAUCCAGCCCCCUAUAAACGAGGAGAUCACACCGGAUCUGACAUCAAUCAAUUUUCCCUCAUUUCCUUUUCAUCAACCACAGAGAUAACUAAGACUUAUCCGUGCACCGCACAACCACUCCAACUGGAUUAUAUGGGGUCCCUAAUGAAAAAGGUAGUCCCGUGAGGGAAAGAAAGAGCGAGAUGGCGGUCGGGGCGGAGCGCUCUGGAUUUCUUUCUGUGUGGGACGAUGCCGGGGAAUGCUAAGAGGCGGCAGAACAACACAACUACAUUGGAUUUUCCCUCCAUGAGAUGAGCCCAGUGGAUUGGACCGAUGGAUAAUAGAAAUGAGCUGGCCAGCGAAGCGACACUCCACAUACGAUGUUGUGGACUCCAUAAGAUACAUAUCUCUUUCUUUCAGCCAUAAGAGAAGAUACAUAUCGAUUUCUUUAAGAUGGAAUCUCUUUCUUUCAGCCAUAAGAGAAGAUACAUAUCGAUUUCUUUAAGAUGGAUCCAUAAUAGAUAGAUUGCUAGUGAAAGAGCUAGAAGCGCUCGCUUCGCCGUGCCCAACAAUUCUUAUUCCCGUGGUAAAGUGAACAGAAAGAAAGAUUCGAUGAAUUCUGCCUUAGCAAAGUGAACAGAAAGAUUCGAUGAAACGAGCACCCCUGAAUGGGAAUGGAAUCUAGCAAACACAUGUGGUAUAGAACAAACUCAAUACACAGCUCCUGCUCCAUCUGAGGCUUCUGAAUCAAUUUCUUCUUACCUUCCCUUCCCGAACUUGGCUCUCUAAAGAGGAGAGGUAUGAUAGUUUAGGCCAUAAAGAUUAUAGGCAGAAAUGCACUAAACCACAGCUUAAUGGAGUUUUAUGGGAAAUGCCCUAUUCAAUCUACUUCUCGGCUGUAGAAAUGAAUUUAGCACCUUAUUCUUGCGGGUUUCCUUGCCUAGCCAGAGGUAAAUGAGAAAGAGUGAAAAGAGCCAGCCAUAGGAAGUCUGCUGAGCUAUCAAGUGAGAAUGAAACCGGAAAUAAAGAAUAUCAGAGGCAAUGAGUUAAACCCGAACCGAACUCUAAAGGGAAUCAAAGACAUGCAAUGAAUUGAAUAAAGAGAAGGUAGGCUGUGCCCUUAAGUAAUUACAAGCCGACUAGCAGGCAAGAAACUAAGUCAAUAGCGCGGCAGGAGCCCCGGGGUAGUUUACGAGUUAAGUCAAUGAUAUCAUAUCUUUUCGAAUGCCCAAGUAGCGGUGUUUGUGUGAAAGCAGCUCAUUCCUCAGUUGUGCUUGGACACUUUGUUGGUUUAGAUCUUUACCAGUCUUGCUUUUAAACGCCAAGUUCAUUAGUUUCAGAGUACAUAUAAGAAUAGGCUACAGCAAAAUGCUUAUCUUAAUCAGGAUCAGGAGCUUUAUCAGUGCUCCCUAACGCCGAAAACUGUAAUGGAACUUGCUUGCUAUGAGGCUGGAAUAGAUUUGAGCACAGAAACUCCACUUGCCAUUUAUAACAGAAACAGAACUCGCAAGGGCUUCUGGAAAGGAAGAUUCUAUUGAUGAUUUCGAAAGUCAAGGUGCUGAAUUACCAUUGCUUUGAAGCUGUAGGUCCAUUUGAUUAGGCUGACGUAGCCUUUCGGGUUCAGGGUAGACUAUCUUACUGUUGAAGCGCUAAGUCCUGAAGCAGAAGCUGGGAAAGUGGUGGAAUUCUUUGUUGACUUUCAAGAAGAAACAGGUCUAGGUCCUGUCCAAGUCCUUGGGUUUGGGUCUAUUUCUGGUUACCCUAGUUCGAGUAUUGUAUCAAGGGCGAAAGUGGUUCGAGUAUUGUAUCAAGGGGGAUAUCAAUCAAGUAAAGUAGAAGCAAGGGUACCCAGUAAAGUAUAAGGUAUCUCCACGGCUAAAGCUAGGGUGGAAAGCAAAGUAGAAGCUAUCUCACAGCGAAAGCAAGGGAACCCAACAAACAAGUCGUAGGUAGAGUGAAGUGACGCUAUUAUAUCACAGGCAAGAGAGAGAUUCAAUUCAAAGGAGAAAGUAAUAGGCCUCUGACACCAUACUCGUAGGUCUUCGGAGGAGAGGCACCUCUUUGAAAACUUCUUUGUCAGGUAGCCAAGCCUUUCCAUGGUAUAGCUCACCCCUUAUUUGACCUAUCCCGACCUAUCCAUUUUCACAGGUAAGGAUUCGCUCUAGCCAGCGGAUGACACGAAUAAUUUAGGACUGAACUUUGAUGUAGUAAGCUAUCAACUACCAAGUAGGUACCCGUAGAUAUAAACAAGUGGGUACCCUAUGAUAUAAAAACAAACUAGCCACUCGUUUUAUUACCUAUUCAAUUAUGGGCAUGGUACUCUUGGGAGUGGUGAGUUACUUAUUAACAGCAACAGUAGUGAGGCCAAGUCUUAUCUUUCUUGCUCUCAGUAGUGAGGCCAAGUCUCAUCUUUCUUGCUCUCUCUUAUGUCUUAUCUCUUCUAUUACUAGCCUACAGUGCUUUACAGGAACGUAUCUUAUUUCUCCAACCAACUCUAUAUCUAGCUUCUUCUCUUUACCUACUCCCUAUAUGGCUGUAAUUCCUCCCUAUAUAGCUGUAAUUCUUAGAUGACGUUGCUCUUAACUCACCGGACGUUAACACUUGUUCUUGCACCGAUUCCCACUCUACGUAUUGAGCUCACCUUUCCAUACACCUGACUUUAGAACUGUUGAUUCGAGAGACCCCCGAUGUAAUUGAAAAUAGUUAAUAUAGAGCAAGUCCUGUCCUGGAUUACCAUGAAACAAGUAGUAGAGUAGUCCAGAGCCAUUAACUGUGUUUUUAGCAAGAGGGAUAGGAGAGUGCUUAUUGUUCUCCGGCUUUUCUUUAUUCUUUCUUAUAGAAUAUGAGUGAAGUUGAUGAAUCCGCUCGCUUACAUUGUACACUGGUAGCAGACUUUAGCCCGAGAUACUUUGAGAGUAAUUCUAGUUUAGGCCCUACUGAUUAUAGGAAGAAAUUCAUUACAAGAGCCGGGGCAGGGCUACAUAGAGAAUUUCCCAUAAAACAACUGAAGUGCUGAAUUCGACAUACUAGGCUGGGUUUGGUCAAGAAGGAGCACGUAUGCGGAGACAAUAGGAAGUGGGUAAGAAAGCACUCUGACUACAAAGAUAGUAAAUGAAUAGGGGCCAAGCGUAUACUUCAGAAUGGAAUUUGAAGACUAGGUCCUUGCCCUUGCAUUAAAGUGAAGUGAGGAUGCGGUUAAGGCUUACGGAAUGAGGUCAGUAAUUACUGGUUGCGCGGCAGGAACAGUGUUAGGGAUAUACUAUUCAAUCUUUUAUAACUCUGGCGCAUCUCCUAUACACACACAUUAUCUAAGGAAAGUCAGAAAACUCUUUAAGUAACAGAUUCUAUAAGAAGAAAGUCAAUAAACACACUCCUUUUAAUCAAGUAAGGAUAGACUAACGUUGAAGAACCAACCUCUGUAAUUGAAUCCAUGAUAGUCACUUAACACUUUCAUAACAAGUAUAUUAAUUAGUAAAUAAGGUUUCAUGAACACAUUCUGCUUUCGCCUAAGUAUUCUUUAGCCUCUUAUGAUCCCUGCUCGCCGAACCUUUAUUGAAAAUGAAAGUGAAAGUCCCUUCCCGCUCCUAGCAAGUAGGAAUUCCAUAAGUGUCUUGUAUUGAAGUCGAAGUAGAAGUAAGUGCUUGUGGUAAGCCAUGAGUAAAUGAAGUCGCGUCGACAGUAGUUUCGCCUUGUAUGGGUGCCGCGCCCGAGCUAUAGUUGCCAUCAAUAGCGCAAUCAAUAGAAAUACUUCCUCUCCUCCGAACUCUAGGAUAAGGUAUUUCAUGAAACUCUAAACUCAGGUAUUCCAUAUAAGAACUAACUCGGGUACCAGAUUGGAUAUAUAACUAGAAAAGAACAGGCCAAUUAACUACUACAAAGGCAAAGAGUGACUUCACACUUUUAUAACUACUUAAGUGAUAAGAGAAACCCGGGGACAAGCAACCUUUCUUUCCUGUGUUGGCGAGGAGAUUUGAAGAAGCUAGAUCGGGAUCCGGGUUCAGGACAGAAUAAGACAACCAACUAAGGAAGGUAAGGUCGAACCAACAAUUGAUGCUUUAACUUGACACUUUCAACAAAGAAUUCCACAAGAACAAGAAAGAGCAGAGCCAGUUACUUUAAACAAGGGAUUCCACAAGAACAGGUACCUCGAAUCUCACUCAGUCAACAACUACUGAUGCAACUUUACCACUACGCCUACUUCUUACAACUAACCUAACUCCGGCGCUCAAGAGACUAUUUGAACUCAGGCUUCUAUUACUGAUGAAACAAAUCAUUCCAAUAAGAGAUUUCACUCAGCCAACUGACUAUAAGGGCCUAUACUCAAGCUACUACUACUACACUACUACUACUACAAAUACAAAGAGAGGGCCAGGCCAAGUCGACAAGCUACUAAGGCAGGGAAGGUAUAAAACUACUGAUCUCAAGUCUGGUUUUGGUGAUUUGAUUCUCAAUUGGUUAACCCCACUGGGCACUAUAUUCUUAAGUAAACUCCAUUCUAUAUCUUUCUGACCUUGCAGACUUAGAGCUAGCAACCUUUAUUACCUACCGAACCCACCUCGCCUCUUACUCCUCUCCUCUCUGCUAACUUCAUUGCCAGUAAUAAACCAAGUCCAGUGCCCUUAAUUAAUUGGCGUCACAGGAGUCAAUUCUCCCGCACAGACAGUAAGAAGGGAAGAAGGUUAACUCCUAGUGGUGUUCUUAACCAACACCCGAAACUGACUAUAGAAGCCUCUCUUUCCAUUGGCACAACUAAUGCUAUCAGCCAAGUCACGUAUACAAAUAGAGAGAGGAGCCUCAUCCACUUAUUGCUCCUAUCUUAUUACUUCUAUGCUACCUCUUAUGAAACAGGAGUCAACUAAGACUUCUUGAAACAAGCCCAGCAGCUGGCUACUAGUUUUCAGAAUUUAUAUCAUCUCUUUCCUCUCCUCUGGCUCUUGAAACUCAGUCUGAUCUUUCUACUGCUUCUUAAGUAGCGGGUUGCCCUUUGCCAACAACAAGAGCAGAACUUCUCUAUUAGACAAAGACCAGAACUGAAAGAGACUCUACUCAAGCUAUAGGAUAAAGGCAUUUCAGAGUUUCCCUUAGCCCAAGGUGUCUUAGAGAGCAGAAGCGGGAAUCCACAUCUAUUUAGCAGAAGCGGGAAUAAGUUAGCUACCGCCGCAACAAGUAUAUAUAUGACUCCUUAGCAACAUUAGCAACACUGGAUUUCUAUGUUAUAGAACUGAUGAAACUUCCACUCUGUAUUCAACUAGAACAGCAAGAACAGGUACCUAUGCCUCUGACUUAGCCUUAGCUUCCCUUACUCACUGGAACCGACUCACCACAAACAAGAAGUGACUUUAGAGGAUAGUUCGGGGUUUCAUCCAUUACAGGCUCGAGUGUCGGUGUUGCCAGAGUCGAGGUAUACCGAAUGAAGGUUAGAAUUAGACAAGAGGUUAUAAGAAUGAAGCAGGUACACGUAUUAAACAAAAGGGAUUCCACCUUCAGCUGACCCGACCUGCCCUUUUCAAUUCCAUUCCACUAUAAGGAGUGGCGAGAGGGAGAGCCCCACAGCACUGGGUUAGUUUCUAUCUUCUUUAAGCACUGGGUUAGUUUCUAUCUUCUUUAAAUAAGUAAACUCUAUUCUUUGACUUACUAUAUGAGAACGGAUUCCACUUAUUUCCUCUUUACUACUAUUGUUGCUUGGCCUCUAUUACUUUCCUCUUUACUACUAUUGUUGCUUUGCCUCUAGUAAUUACUAUAGGAACAAGAUCGAUCUGAAGCUACUAGAGGAACAAGAUCUUAAGCUCCAAAGUGAAUAAAAAGAAUCAUUAGCCAGAGGGGAGUGGUCUCAUAAAGGCGUUAAAGCGGGAAGGACGAGUUGAAGCUAAGUCCUCUGCUCUUGCUACUAAUACAGUACAGGAUGAAACUGGGACCCGGUAUGGAACUAAAGAAGAGAUAAGAAUAGUAAUAGGGGUCUAUUAAGAAUAUAGCAACUCAGAAUAGGGCAAGCAAGCACCUUUCCUUGGGCUCAGGGCAACUGGAGACCCAUACCCAUCUCCUCUCCACUAAUUCUUGCCCCAACUCUUGUUUCGUCUUCAAGUCGAGUAUCUCCUGGUAUCUCUCCUGUUGUUUACAUUGGUCGUGGAGAGAGAGUUCCUUCUGAUGCGGAGGUGUACUCAUCGGUAGGUGCCAGGAAAGGAUAAGACUCUUAAGGGAAAGCGCAAGGGAGAUAAUAAGUCUUUACUUGAUGUUAAGGGUUUCAUCCGUUCACCUAUAUCACCUAUAUAAAGAGAAGAUCCAAGCCACUACUUAGCCACUACUACAAACUCUAACAGUUUCCGAGAUCCGGUUUUUCUUUGAACUUAAGCUGUUUUGGAAGUGUUAAGUAACUCUGUGUCCUUUCUUCUUCUGAUAUUGACUGCCGCCAUAAAUACAGGACUCAAUAAGGGGACCGAACUAACACCCGAAUUGUUCCUUGCCAUUCUAGUUUGUUUAGUAGUCGAACACCUUGUCUGUUAGUAUACGCUUGGCUUGCCCAGGAUUUACACCUUUUCUCAAAGAGUCUGCUAUCAUCAUGCUGGUGUGAUCUAUCUACACUAUAGGAUGAAACCUUCAAAACAUACAUAGUACUUUACGUCAUGGUUCACUUGCUAGACGACUUGUUGUUGUUGGAGAAGGCAAGGGCCGCAGAGUUCUCACAGCAGCGGUCUAUGGAUAGUACCAUCACCGGAAGUCCUGUUCAUUCAGUUCCUCAGAGCACACAAGAAAUAGUGCCUUUGUUGGCGUACAAACCAUUCCCUCGAUAAUGAAAGGGCUAAGCUCAAUUCCCGUUGCAGCAAGCGCUAGCUUUGAAGCCACGUUUCUAAUGGUCGAAUAGGUCGUUUAUAGCGCUGAGAAGCUUUAAGCCAAGUAUUAUGCUUCUGCAAUAAAUUCCUAGCGAAUGAAUGCGGAAUGAUGGAACUUCUAGCGGAAAAGGCACCUCUUCUCUAUACACAUAAGCAUAUUCAUAAGAUGCUACUGGAGAAGAAAAGGAAGAAUAAGCGAGCCGCCAAGGAACGGAUAGAGUUUAUGUAAGCUUAAAAGAGCCAAGGAACUACUAGACAAGUACAGGAACAGGAACAGGGGAUUGGAUUACUUUCUCACUGCCUCUGAUCGUGAUACAGGAAUGGAUUUGAAUUGAGUCUAUCGAACUCAUGGAAUGAAGAAAGAAAUGGAAUAACUGGGCUUUGCCUUUGUGAACUAGUUCCCUUUCCACUCUUCCUACUGGUUCCCUUUCAACUAUACCUAUUAGUAUAAGCUUGCCUGAUAGCUUUCCCGGACUGACGCCUUGAAUACUUCACUCGUUAACCACUAACUAACGCCCAAUUACUUAAGGUUUGAAGCUCGCUACCGUUUUAGCUCAGGCUCCUCCGCGCCACGUUAGUAGUGGCUUGGUCAUUAGUAGUUGCUUGGCCCUUAUUUCCAUUCUGAUGCUUACUACUAAUAUUCCGUAUUGUAUUGCUUUAUUGCUUGGUCGAUUCUUUUUGGCAUUAGCGCAAAUCUUAUACUCAAUACCUAUUUCUUUAUUCCUAAUUUGACUCUUUGAUUGAAUAGAGAAAAUCCCUAUUCCCAGGUGGAUUCUCACCUGUACUAACAAGGCUUAUGCUCUAUAAACUCACUCUUUCACUGCUACUUCAGUUGUGUAUUGCUACUUUGAUUCUUCCACUCAUAGGUAUGAUCCAGUGCAUUCUACUAACAUAGAAUAAAGAAGAAGUGCCUCCUGUACAGUAAGAGAAUCCAACUAGUACUUCGUUGACUUGAACUUAUAUAAUCCAGAAUUGCACCUGUACUCGCGAGACUGAAAAAGUACUCAGCAAACAACAAACAUGAAAUAGGGAUUGAACCCGACCCUAGUUCUCUCUUGCCCAACCCUAGUGCUAUUUCGUUCUUACGCUCCCGAUCUAAUAUCUGUAUUUUGACCUGUAACUACUGCACCGGAAGCUGCCCUGCCCUGGUUGUAUUCUUUAUUGAAAUUGUUAGCCCGCCUCUACCAAUUCGAAUUCUGAAAUGGCUUUAUCGAGUUCUGUAUCGCCCCUUCCAUACUUAUGACCAAAACCUUGGACUCUACCACAGCUUACUUAUACACUGACAACAGGUGCUGAAAGCCUACUGUUUCUAAGAAUUGAGUUGCCCGCCCGCGCUGCAAGAGUCAAACAAAUAAUGAGUUUUGUGUUAGUUGUUACUGCUUCUGCCCUAUAGGCCUGACAUGACUUUCUCUUAGUUCAAACAACAGUGAGUCUGCCUGUCCGGACCUAAAGCCUUACUCUUCCGUUUUAUCCUUAUUGCCUGGUCUGGCAUUCCUUCCUUAAUUCCUGUUUUGCUUACUAGAAUAGCUUCGUAGGAUAGUGCUUUAACUCAUAUUCAUAUAAGAAUAAGUAUAUUGUAUUAUUCUAAGAAAAGGUAAGUUGUUGCGCGAGGGCAGAAUGAAACAAAGUCGUAUCGUAGCCUAUUCCCUACCGCCAUAAACACGCUGUAGUAACUACAAUAAAAUGUAUUAUAUUAGUUCACGAAGCCAAGCAACGGCGUUUGCAAUUGAGAGUUUGACCAUGAUAGCUCCACGCGGGAUAAAGUCAGCUUCGAGAUAUCAGUAGCCUAAGCCCUAUAGUGAGGCAAGUCAUAAUUAGAUAAAGGGCCAAGCAGAUGUUCGACAGGCGGACUAGGAAGCUAUAAGUACUGAAGUUCAGAAUGAAACUAUGGGUAUUAAGACUUAACCAAGUGAGUCAAGGCAUGGAAUCAGUGAGUGUCUUGGCGGGUAGGCUUAUGUUUCUGACCUUGGAAAACAAUCAAUUAGAAAUCAUAAAAAAACCAGAAGAUUACUCACUAAAAAGGGCCAAGUAACUACUAACGUUACGCGGCAGGAGCUGUUCUUCCACGACAAAAAAGUAAGUGAAUCCCGACAAAAAGGGCCAAGGCCUCAAACUCAACUGGAAUAAUAAAAAGCACAUAAACCGUUUUGGUUGCUCUCUUACUUUCGAUGUGUUCGCGUGACGCGGCAGGAGCUAGCUGUUUUUGUUCCCGCCCGACAGAGGCAUCUGCAAUCAGGAGGGUAGAAAACAGACGAAAAUAGUGGACUUUUGAACUCAUUCCUUACUACGGUAUCAACCCCUACAUACGGAAUUUCACCCUACAUACUUCAUUUCAGGAGUGGUAUCGACCCCUACAUACGGAAUAGAAGGAAUUGGAAUAAUGAUGGUAUCAACCCCUAUAUACUGAAUUGCAGAAGUGGGAAUACUGCAUUUCAGAAGUGGGAAUCAUUCUGGUAUCAACCCAUCGAAGAGGAAUGGGAAUGUAAAUAAUAUAGAAAAAACGGAAGCAUUUGACCCGUAGCCACGCCCACUAGGAACUGAGUGGCAGCUUGGCGGAAAGCCUAAUACUCGAUGGUUACAUAGAAUUAGAGUCUGUCCUUUUUAAAAGAAGCUAAGUAAAUUCACCCUAUCAAGAAGCUAAGUAAAUUAACCCUAUCGUGACUUACUGAACGAAAAAGCCCACCGAUUGACCGAUAGACUAGAGAGUAAGCCAGUAGCAGCUAUAGUACUAAGAUCAGAAUGAAGAAUUGCCACUCAUAAUAAGAUAAGAAUAGAACUCAGUUGGGCAAGUAGUAAAGGUAUAAUGAAUAGGGCUAGAUCUAGCACAUAGUAUGUAUAUGUAUAAGUAUUAGUAUUAAGGGAUAAAGAUAUGGAUUAGUGUCUUUACUUGUUUGUUUCUAUGCCAGGUGCUGUUGAUCCUUGGCAUACACCGUAACCUAUCUUAGUAGUUACCUUACGCGCUACACCACUACUAGAUGAUGACCUUAAGAACACUGCAACACAAGUACUCUCUUCUGCCUCUGAUCCGCUUGCUUGUUACAGUUGCUUUCAGGUAAAGGUUAUACAAGGGUCUAUGUUCUUAGGCGUCAAUGCAUUUCUUUUCUACAUCCGAUAAGUAGGUCUCAUAGGGAAUUCUAGUUUCCUUUCGAACAGAAACAGACUCGUAUAUUCCAGCUUCCUUGUGCGCACUACUUCUUUUCCUUCUCCAGCUUAUGCACCUUCACCCUCGGAACAACCUUAACCCUCGGCUUCUGGGAGAAAUUCUUUACCUCUGUGUUUUAUUACUUUAUUCUUUCUCUCUUUGUUUGAUUAAUGUAUUCUUCUUUACUUCCCCAGCUUCAAAACCUAUGAACAGGACUAGGUAAUGUCAGGCUUCAGGUCCUGCUUCUGGAACAAGUAUUCUUAAGUACACAAGUACAGGCAUCAAAGUCAAUAAGUAUAAGUUCUAUCUUCUCCACUUCCUACCGAGGCCUAGCUAAAGGCGAUGGAUUACCCCGCUGCUUCUCUCGCCUAGCCUCUUGCUUGCUCUCCCAUUAGCGCAACUCAAGGAUUCAUUUCAUCUCUCCCGCAGUCAGGUUAACUCGCUCACACCUCGAAUCAAACCUACUUGCUCCAGCGGAUUCUCUUAUCGAUGUCGACUUUCUUUCCUAAAAUCUUUCUCAAUCUUCUUAUUCUUGAGCCUAAGAAAGGAAUGGUGCAACUCACUUAAUUUAGUCUUCUUGUGCAGAGUCAACUCAAAUCUGCUGUAAGGAGUCGGGAGCAAGCCCAGUAGCAAGCGCAGAAGAAUCCGCCGUGAAAAAGGAAGCAGCUAGACGUUAUGAAAGUGGAAUUGGAGUAGAAAGGUCAGAAACUGAAUGAUGAGCUAGCAUGGGGUAUUAUCGAAUGGGUAGCUAACACAGUGCUAAAGGGAAGGGAUGGUGGGUCUUUUCUUUACUCAGAGAAGUUCUCUACCAGAUGCUCGAUACGAUAGAUUCCAUUCAUAUUCCUUAUUAGUGGAGAGAUAUUCUAUUCCAGUUUUCACGGGUGUUGAAUAAGUUGGAUCGGGUGAUGAAGCCGGAUCUGGCGAAUAAACAGUUUCAAGAUUAGAAACAAGAUCUGGAUCUGCAACAGGAGAAUCCGCGGGAUCGGGAUAAUCAGCUGUUAAGUAUAAAGGUUCAGGUGCUGCAGCAAGCGGUUCUGGAGUGGAAAUGGUUGAUUCCACAUAAGAUGAGUUUACCCUGGCUUCCUUUCCUUUAGUUAAGGGUACAUUUAUUGAUGAGUGAUGAGUUGGAACAGACAAUAAGGCUUUCCCGAGCUCCACUAUAUGUUGCUGAACUAAUUAAGACAGACACACCGGAGGAACUUAUUAACUAACACACUAAACGGAUUGUACCGAAACAAGCUACUACGCAGGUAGUUCAUUCUUUCCUAUAACAUAGAUACUCCAAAUAUCAGAUAUCUUGACUAACGGAAUGAGGCUCAUCCAACUCAGGCAAUAGGGUCUUACUACUAAGAAGAAUAAGGGAUAGGUCUGGGUCUUACUACUAAGAAGAAUAAGGGAUCUACUGCUUCAAGAGUAGCAAACACGGAUGAAACUCUGAAUUCCAAUACGAGGGCAGGCAGCUCAGUAGUUAAUAUAAGAAUGAAACCACUAACAUCAAGACUCAAACGACUCCUAGGCAGACUUAAGCCAGCAACAACAAGACUGAUGCUAUUAACUCACAGAACCAAAUCAGUAAGUGUAAGGCUUUGAAGCGGGUAAGUAAAGAAAGGGGAGUGGAAAGGAGAGUUUCAUCUGUAUGCUUGCCCACUUGCUAUGUGGUUUAAGAAUUCAGUUAGAUGAGCAAGAGUCGAUGAACUCUUUAUUUGUGUUGCCAGAGCUAUAGGGGAGAGAUUGGCUGUGGAAUCCUAUUUCCUUUGUGUAGUUACGGGGUUGUUUUGUUUACUGACUUGCUAGUAUGGGUAGGGGUCCCGUUUUGCCCAUCAUGUGUUUAGUUCAGGGGUCGGGGUGCUUAUUCCAUUGGUUUAUUCGCCCCACUGGUCAGAAAGGGAAGCAGUUCAUAGUUGUAAGAGAUUAGCCGGAGUUCACAGAGGAAGUCGAGAGGUCGGGUCUCAUAAGAAAUCAAGUCUAGCUUUUGUUGACAGAGCAGAGGAAAGAAAGAAACUGGAAUGAAAGAGGAGAGUGAUUGUUUGAAGAGCCAGAGGGGGCAGGUUAGCUAGUCAAUUGAAUAGAGGGCAGGUUAGCUAGUCAAUUUCAUUCCACUCCUAUGUCGGUAAAGUAUCGGCUUUGUUGCGAGGGAGAGAAAACGGAGCGAGUGGGGGAUGCUGUUGAAAGAGAGGAGACAAGCCCGGUAUUCGACCCUAAAGAAAGGAAUCAUGCCAUAACUGUAUUUGUAACCAGAGGAGAGAGAGUCAAGCUAGUCCAGAGUAGAGGUAUGAUAGUUCCCAGCUGUAUUCUUUAUUGAUUGCCCCUUGGUUUAGUCUUGAUAGUAGUUGCCUUAACCCUGUAGUUACUAAUUGCAGAAAUGAGAAUAAGGUUCUUCACUGUUUGGUUCUUACAAGCACUGGUGUCAGCCUGAGUCAAGUAGGAGGUCAGUCUGGUUGUCAGUGGUUAGGUUCCGAUACUGCUUAGUCCCAUUCUGUAAUUGAUUAGGUUCAGUCUGGUUGGUGCACAGUUUGAUUCUUCUUAGUAGUGGUAGAUAGGUCAGGUGUUUGACUUGAAGUGGAAUCCCCAGUUGCAUCAGUGAGAGUUGCCAGAGAGGAGGAGAGAGGUAAAGUUGAAAGUUACGUUCUUGACCCAACAGGUAGUGGAGUAGUCGCGCCCAGAAGCAAUACAAGUAUACGAGUAGUUAGCUCUUUGAACUGUUGUAGUUGCCCUUAUAUUAAGUCGUUAGAUUAGCAAGAUCAGAGGAAUCGGCGGGAUCAGUAUCAAUAUAAGUAGUUGAUUGUCGGCUUGGCUGCUACUUUAGAGUUCAAUUAAGUAUCUGUUGCCAGCAGGGUUCAAUGAUUUGUUCUUCAAGUUUAGAGGCAAGGUCAGCAGUUCCGUCAGAAGGGGAGGUCGGGGACUUAUUAGAGGUUAAGGGUUUACAAGGGAAGAAAUAGAGGAAUGAGCGAGAUCAGGUACGAGCGGGAAGAAUAGAGAGGCAAGGUAAGUAGUGAAGUAUGCAGGAGAGAGACUCCAGUUAUGAGUAAGCCCGCAUCUAGUACAUAAGACUAAGAUCUAGCUUGUUGGGGUGGUAGAGAGUUCGGUUCGGGGUUAACACUUAUAAGAGAAGUUAUUGUUUCGGGUCGGAAUACAGAUGCUGAAUUCACUGUUCUGGUUUCAUCAUAUCUUAGAGAAUUGUCAAAUGAAUCAAUUUGGAAAAGAACAAAAAAAGUAGAAGAUUACUCAUAUUUAUCAUGUACCAACACCGUAGAAAAUAGUAAAGGAAAAGCCAUAUCAAUUCUAUCUCUUCUUAUAUAGGUGAACGGAGUCAACUCUUCAUUCCAAUACGAGGGUAGGGUCGGCUGGUUUACUGACUUUUACUGGGCUCGGGUAAUUUACUAACUUUGUGGGGUAGACUUGUGGAAUAAAAGGAAGAAAAUGGUGGGGUAGAUUUGUGGAAUAAAAGGAAGAAAAUCAUCAAAACAAUCAAAUCAAAUAAAUGAUCAAAUUGGAUUAUUCCUGUUGUGUUCUAGGCCUUGGCCAUACUAAAUGAUUUCUGAUAUUAUUAAGGAGAAAGUUUCGAAAGAGAGAAACCCUUUGCCCCUGCUCGAGUGGAAUCAGUGAGUGUCUUGGCGGCUCGGGUAGUUGUUGAAGUCUGUUACUAGGGGUAGGCUUGUGGAAUUCUAUUGACUUGCUUGUUAGGUGAGUUGUGGAAUUCCAAUACUAGGGUGAUUGACUGACUGGGUUUACUUACUUGGGUAGUCGAGAGUACCAUCUUUUAGGGUGGAAGAAAAGGAAGACAAGAAAAGAAAUCAAUCCGAGCCUUUGUCUGCUUGGCCCCAGCUAGCUAGGUCAAAAAGAAUUCCUAACAAUCAACUCUAUCUCUACAACAAGGGAAGGAACCUGAAAGAUUAUAGGAAGAAAUGACUUCUAAGGCCCGCAAUCAGAAUGCAGUUAUAGGAGCAGAGGUCGGUUCGGGGAAGAAAGGGAAGCUAAGCAAUAAGUAAAGAAAGUCUAUAUUGGCUAUCCAAAAUCCCGGGUUUUAGUGAAUGACUGGGUGUUCGAAGCCCUACCCUAGUUCAAGUUCUUAAGUAAGCUGCUGUCGGGUCUGCUCCUGUUCUUGUUAGAGUUUCCUCCCUUGUUUAGUCCGAAGUUGACAAGUAAAGUAAGUAGUCCAGUUUUGAAUUGGAUUUCCCAUGAAACUAAGAAACUUGCCAACGAAUGAAUUUAUGCCUAACAUCUUGAACUGCUGGAUCUAAUUCCUCCUUGCUUCGCUUCAUUCUUAUCCCGAGCACAUAGCAAGUAAUAAAGAAAUGUAGUAUACGCUUGUCGAGAUUCUAUUUCAUUCUGACUUGAGAGUUUAGGUCGUUCGAUCUACCUACACCAGUUGUUUUCGAUCUACCUAUGGCUUUUGAUCUACCUGUUGAUUAUUCUAUAGUGAAAGGAAUAUGGUUAGCGCUUUCGAACAAGUGCUUACGCUUAGCUUCCUUACUAUGAGUUUGGGGUGAACACAAUCUGAUAGACUCACUUCCGCGCAAGACAGAUCUUUAUUUGUUGACUGCUUCAUUCCUAUAUAUUAUGAGGAUGCGUGAAAGAGAGAUUCAAUUACAUAUGCACAAGAGAGAUAUUCAAAUGAUGAACUUCCACUUCUUGUAUAGGUCGGAAAUGAAAAAGCAGGUCCAAGCCCAACUGAAUAAGCUGUUUCAAGAUCAUAAGAUGGAGCAGGAUCUGUUGUUGUAUCAAGAGCAAAUAAGUCCAUUUGAAUAGGCUAAAAUGCAUUAGUUGAGCCAAUAGGUUGCUUUAUAGGUCAUUUGCCAUAAGAGUAGUUUCCCGUAGGUUCCACUUUGAGAAAUCCGCUUUCUGUAGCCUUUAAGGUUUGACUCGGAACAAGUAGUUCUUCAAGAUAGUAGAGACCAGACCUUCCUUUGUUCUCUGCUCUACCUGCUGACAUAAAUAAGAUAGGAAUGGCAUGCAGUAAAGAAGAAUUAGUGCGCGUAGCUUGUUACUUGAGUAUCACUUAUUUCAUUCACACCGAUAGUUCUCUCUCACUCACUUAUUUCAUUCACACUGUUAGUUCUCUCUCACUCAUAUGAUUUAUUCACACUGUUAGUUCUCUCUCACUCAUAUGACUCUCUUGUCUCCAGCUAUUGGUCAACAAAGAAUGACACAAGGUAGUCCAAGGCUUCAACCCGUGCUUCCAAGCCUGCAACCAUGGCAAGCAAGACUGAUACAGUAACUGAGUGACUCAGAAUGCAAUGCCAGUAAGCAAGACUGAUACCACUGCCAGCAAGCCUUACCCCAGUGAACCCGAGGCUCAAACCCAUGCCCCAAGCCUGAUACCGGUGUUGCUAGGAAUGCAAGCAAGGGAGUCCAAGCCUGAAAGCACUGCCCCCGAGAAUGUCGCUAGUCAAUCUAAGACUCAAACAAGGUAGUAACAGCCUAUCCGGCAGGGUAUCGAUUCCCCGCACCCAGUAGAGGAAUCAAACUAGUGAAACGAAGCCUUAAAGCCCCGACUAAGAGGUGAGCUAGUCGGAAUCAAACAAGUAAGUCAAAGAACCAAACUACGACUAUCAAGACUUAAACUAGAUCCGAUCAGCCUGAAACUAAGUCGACUCAGAACCAAACUAGGGCUAGCAAGACUUAUAUUGGUGCUUAAGACUUCAACUAGUAACAUCGAGACUCAAACGAUUCCUACUCAGGCUUAACCCGGUGCUCCUCAGAACCAAACCCAUGCCACUGAUUCCCCGCAUCUAGUUUCAGAAUCAAACUAAGGAGUGCAAGAAUGAAAGCAGUAACAAUAAGAAUCAAACUCACUCCAACCAGACCGAAACCAGUGCUUCCAAGACCGAGGCAUCUAACAACCAGACUGAUACGAGUGAGGGCAAGGCUUAAACAAAGUAGUCACAGAGAAUGGAGCUGACCAAUCCAAGGCUUAAAGCACUGCCAACGAGAAUGUAACUAGUGGUACUCAGGCUGAUGCUGCUAAGUGAUAGAAUCAAACCGGUGAGGGUGAGGGCUCGCUACCGCGUCACAUUAGCAGUGCCUUGGUGGCUUCACUCACUACCAACAAGACUGAAAGUAGUGCUACUCAGAGCCAAGCAACGCCGAAACAGGACGAAACCUGUAAGUAUGAGACGACCUAGUAAGUAUGAGACUCAGAAUCAAACUAAGUAGUAACAGAAUGAAGCCAGGGUAUCAAUUCCCCGAGGUAUAUAUAUUUCAAUAGAAGGUAAUGAUUCCCCGCAUUGUUACUGAUCAAGUAGUAAAGGUAAUGAUUCUCCGCAUCUAGGUCAGGUAUUAAUAUAUGGUAUCGAUUCUCCGCAUCUAGGUUAAGAAUCAAACUAAGGUAUCUAUUCUCCGCAUGUCAAGUAGAUGCUCCAGUACAAAGAUCAGAAUUGAGCCCAGGGGUCAAAGAAUUGCACUCCGUUUUGAAAGUAGUAAUUACAGAAUGAAGCUAGAGAGUUAGGGAAUGAAGCUAAGGAUUCCAAACCUGAUAUUGGUGUUGCCCGGACUGCAGCUAUGGAGGCAAAGAGUGGAGCUAGUGGUACUAAGAACCAAACCACCGGUGCAUCCAAGGCUUCACCAAAGGAGUGAUAGUCUGACGCUAUGUAGUUACAGGCUUAAACGAGGCAGCUAAGGUCUCAAACGACUCCUACUGAGAAGGGAGCUGACCAAUCUGAGGCUUCAAUCAGUGCAUCUAAGGCUGGUGCUGGGGCUCUUCGGACUGCAGCUAUGUAGUUAGAGAAUGGAGCUGACGGGCCCCGGACUCGCUACCGCGCAACAUGAGUAGUUGCUUGGUGGCUUCAAUCGGUGCUUCUCGGGCUUCAACCGGUGCUUCAACCAGGCAGUAUGAGAAUGGAGCUAAGUCAACUAAGAAUGCAGCUAAGUAGUUACAGGCCGAUGCUAGGUAGUCUGGGAAUUGAGCCAGUGCUUUCCAAGGCUUCAACCAGUGCUGGGCAGACUUAAAGCAGUAACAAUCGGAAUGCAACCACUGCAUCUCAGGCUUAAACCCGUGCUACUGAUGCUGUUAGAUACUCAGGCUUAAACUAAGGAGUCACAGAACGGAGCUAUGCAGUUACAGGCUUCGACUACUACUAUCAAGACCGAAACUAGUGCAUCACAGACCGAAAGUAAGGGCAGCGUUAGGUGCCAGCAGUUUCAGAAUGAAGCAAGUAAAUCCAAGACUUAACCCAGCGCAUCUAAGAAUGAAACUACUUCUAACCAGACUGGUAUACUGGGGUACUAUGCUAGGUCUUGGUACUAAGACUACUACUACUGACAACCAGACUUGAACUAGUAAGGGAAAGCCAGGGUUGCAUCGCUUUCAUUUCAUACGAGUUGAGUCAUAUAAGGAAGAUAAGACUAAAGGAUCAACUGCUGCUGCUAAUGCAGUUCUUGUUUCAAUUCAAUGAGAAACUUCAAGUGGUGCCACUGGGUCGACGAGAGAAAAAGAAAGAAUAGAAUCCAGUCAAUUUGAAGCAACAGCGGAUAUUAUUUAGGCCGGAGCCAGAGUCGGAAUAAGAUCUGAUGCCGGGGAUGAAGGUGCUUGAUUUUCAUAGGCUUGCUCGAUAGGAUUCCAUAAAUUCUGUUACUUGUGCUUACCUUACUAUGUUCUCUUCAGCUUCAUAGAUAGAUAGAUUCAAAUUCAUGUUGAAGCCUUGUUCGGGUGCAAGCGGGGGAGUAUAUAAGUCCACAGCUCUAGUUGAAUCCGGAGGUCGGCAAAUGGGAAGAAUCCUAAAUACGAGUUCAAGUUAUUGGCUCUAAAUCUACAAGAGACGAGAAGGAUAAGGAUAAGGCCCGGUUCAGAAAAGAAUCUAAAUCGAUUACUGGCCGGGAAGAGUGAGCGGGACAUGAUAGGCAGUUGCUUCUGUUUCCUACCUUGGAGUUGGAGUGGAAUGAUGACUUUUGAGUUUAGGUCGAAUCUGUAUUGGCUCUUUUUAAGCAAAGUUGAGCUCCUAAAUCCAUUCUAUUACUUGCGAGCGAGUAAGUCUUAUCCUUUGGAUACUAUACCUAAAGAGACUCGUCUAUAGCAUCUCAUCUCCCAUCCUUCCUGUUUAAGAGAGAGAUCCUGACUGUUGGUUGGUCGAGUGAGAGUGGAUUUCUUGAUAGGUGCAUUCUUGCUUGAGAGUUGCAGACCAGAGAUCCAAAGUGGCCUUGCUUACUUGAAGAACAAAGGCUUGUCUCGUUGCUUAUUCUCGAAACUGAAUCAUUUCCAUCGCAACAUGUCUCGCCAGGAUUAUAUAGUUUAUGCAAAAUGAGUAGAAGUCUAGUUUCGGGUAAGUCCGGAGCUGCCUUGUUACUUCUUUCUAUCAUGAGGGGCACUUACAUUCCAUUCGAAAGGACAGGACUGUUAGAGCGCCCCCAAUGGACUGAAAAGUGUACAGUGAAGUUGCCAGUUUCCAUAGGUAGAAGAGAUGCUCUAGUACUUGCCAGGGAAAGGCGAACACAGGACUCAUCAAAGGGAGUGAUAGACUCAAACAAGUGCAUCAAAGACUAAAACUCACUCCAAUCAGACGGAAACCGGUGCUGCCCAGACUUCACCCGGGCAUAGUAAGACUCCAACCAGCGCUACUUAGACUACAACCAAUGCAUCUCAGCCUGAAACAACUGCUAACGAGACUGAUACUACUGACUACCAGAACCAGUGCACAACUAUCAAGACUCAAACAAGGCAGUGAAAGAAUGUAGCUCAGUAGCCUAAGCCUUGCACUCAGUAGCUCAAGACUGUAGCUAUGGAGUCGAAGCCUGUUGCUAGGGAGUCCAGGAACCAAACAACUGCUAACGAGACUGAUGCAGCUAAGGGAGAGAAUGGAGCUGGUGCUGGCUAGGCUGAUACUGGUGCUACUGAUUCUUUGUAUCGGUCGCUAAGGUCUUAAACAAGGGCUGCCCGGACUGCUGCUUAGUGGUAGUAAGCCUGUAGCUAAGGUAUCUAACUACUAACAAUCAGACUUAAAGCAGUGCAAGUAAGACUCAAACCGGUGCUUCCAAGCCUGCAGCCAGUGCAGCUAGGUAUAAGACUCGGAAUGGGGCUAAGGAGUGACAGAACGAAAGCGAGGGUAGUAAGCCUGAUACGGUGUCCGCUCUGACUGAAGCUGAAGCUGGUGAGUUGCAGGCUGAUGCGGGUGGUACUGAUGCUAUGUGGCUAAGGUACUACUAUAGGCAUGGGUAAGCUUACUUGUGGAAUUCCUUUACUAGGUCGGGGCAGAGUAACGUAAAGGCGAGGAAGCUGGCUUUGAUACGAGGUUUGAUACGAGAUAAAGUACUUGCUUUGAAGCUAGGUGUGAGUGAGCGAGGUAUUGCCGAGGAGAGGCCAGGUCAGUACUUUAUUAUUCCUGCUCGUCGUACUGCUCCUGUUCAAGUAGAGGUCUGGUCCUUUUGAAUCAGUAGUUGUUGCCAGAGAAUAGAGAGGCAAGGUCAGCUGCUGCUCUUAUAGUUAGUUUCUGCCUUUCAUUCCAAUAGAGACUUGUGAGUUGAAGUAUCAAGAGAGCCCAGUUCCAGUUCGAGGUCUGUUAUUCAAGUUGAGUUCUUGUGCUCUAGGUUAAGUGAGCAACAUUAGGAGUGAUAGUUCCUGUGCUCUAGGUUAAGUGAGCUACUGUAGGAGUGAGGCAAAGUAGUAGUAAAGUGGAAUCAGAGGUUGCAUAGAAGUGAGAAGAUAGGAGCAAAUAAGUAGAUGAGGCUCCUCUCUCUAUUUGUAGUAGUGACUUGGCUCGUUGCUUGGCCUUUGAUUCACUGCUUUCAGGCUUACUACCCUGACUUGAAGUCUGCCUAGCUCACACAAGGUUCAGUAUUUCCCUCACUCGUUCUACUCUUUGACUACCGAGGCCAAUUCUCACUUUCACCACGGAGUUGCCCUAGAUGCUGGCCUAGUAACAGACUUCCUAGCCUAGUAACAGAGGAAUGAAACCACACACCAAGUCAGUAAACAAGUAAUUCCACUCGCCCAGCUGCAGUAACUUCAUUCCAAAACUACCCGACCCGACCUCUAUACUUCUACCAACAAGAAUAAAGCUAGCAACUCUAAACUCCUAUUUCACUCCUAACUCAGGUACCAUACCAGAUUGGAUAUAUAACUAAUAACUCCUAACUCAUAACUCCGGAUUGCUUUACUGGUAUUAUAACUCCGAUAACUCAUAUUGAACUCCUAACUCAUGUAUUUCAUUUAAUACCUUAACUCCUAACUAGAAAGCAGAUUCCACAAGGUAUUCCACUGGCAGCUGGCAACUAAAGAAACAGUACCCUAGAUUGCUGCUUCCUUUCUUUCGCCAACAAGAAUAUCUCUUUCCGAUCUAAACUAUCACUUGAACAGGAAUUGGGGCAGGGGCAGCACCAACAUCCUCAACAAGACUUGAAACUGCUAAUCUCUCUCCUAUAGCUCUUGCUACUCUCCCUCUGUUCUGGCUCCGGCUACUAAUCUAACUCGACUCUAAGUUCAGAACAACUUCUAGCCUACCUCCCCUAUGGCUACAAUAACUAUCCUCUGAUCUUGCUCUUUCAACUCUUUCUCCUCUUCUCUUGCUAUUUGAACUCAGUUAGUUUAGUGCUUCUGCCUCACCUCUUUUUCAUCCACCUCUGUCAACAAUCUAUUUCACCCUGCUAGCUACUAUUAACUGCAUUCUUCUCCUCCUGGUCUCUGUUUCUGUCCGGAAGGUAUCAAACUAAAGAAUCCAACCGGUUAUCUAGUAUCUCUGCCUCCUUCUCCUUUAAGCACCACUUGGACUACCUCUGCGGAUAUAUAAGUCUUCCCAUUUCUACUUUAUCACUGGCCUGGGGCACUGGGCAUUCUCUUUCUUACCUUAGUUACGGAUAUUAUUAUAUAUUAAUUCCGCAAGUAAGCUUCUGUGAGUUCUGCUUCUCAUACCUAUGGGUAAUAGUACACUUCCCUUGCAAGACCCAACUAAUACAGAUGAAACUCUCCCUGCCUCACAAAGUCAGUCAACAGCCUAACAAGCAAGUAAGUCCCUUUCCCUAACAAGCAAGUAAUUCCACAAGCGCAGAGCCAAGCAACGACUAGUGUGUAGCGGCAGUCCCUUAUGUUUUCUUAUAUUCAAUUAUCUACUAUUUUUCCCUACUAUGUCUGUACUGAGUAUGUAUAUGAGAAAGAUGUCGACUUUAUCGCUUUUUUUGUGAUUUCUCAUUUCUUGUUUUCGAUAGUUUUGAUCAUUUCUUCCCUCUCCUCUGUUGCUUGUUCCACUCUUAUUAAUAGUAGGCUUUCAGCACCUUAUUCGUAGUUGGCUUCCGAGUUCCCAGUUCCACUCUGAUAGUAGUAAGUACGAUUCCUUUUUGUUAGUUUGGUCAUGUAGCCCGGUCUUGGAAACAGUAGUAAUAGUCUCAUAAGCACUAGCCCCCGAACACAGGACAUAGUAGUACCCGAACUCUAUUACAAGGGGAAAGAAAGUACUAUAAGGGCCCGACCGAUACUGUUACUACUUACUCAAACUAAGCACACCGAUACUGUUACUACUGAGGGAAAUUACUAGAUGUAGAUGCACCAAGCAGCCGAACACAGCACUAAAAAGAAAGAAGGGCGAAUACAGGACUCUGCCCCGACCUAUACAAGAAGGGAAAUGGAACUGGGGAUUACACUCUUACAGGACUACCUGGACUACCUCGACUCUUGAACCCACCUCUCCUCUUGCAGCUAACCCUGUCUUUCUCUUGAAUAAGUCUGAUCUUUCUUCCCCCGCCUAUCUCUCUUAUUCUUUUCUUCCCUUAUACUUAAUUAGCUUCUCCCCCUUUGCAUCCUUACUGACUCUAAACGAAAAGUCACCUAACACACACUUGUCGAGCAGAGGAACCCCGAACCUGCGCUGUGAAACAAGAAUUCUUCUGUCCCCAAGAUAUCAUAUGUUCUGUGUCCUUUCUUUGGUGUUCAUGGCGCAACUACACAGCAAACUUGUAUACUCCUAUCCUAUCUUUGAUUGAAGAAAAUCAUAUUUAUUGGCAGCUGAACCCUAUACUAAAGCACCGAACCAUUCCUUUGCUUUCGCACUCCUAAACUCACCAUUCCUUUGCUUUCACACUCCUAAACUCACCAUUCCUUUGCUUUCGCACUCCUCCCUAAACUCCAAUAAGCGUUAGCGGUGCCUAUCUAAUUUCUAGUGAAUUACGGGUUCCUAGCUCUUAAACAAACUGUUUACUUGAAUCACGAGCUUGCCGGAACAAACAACGUUCCUAAGUGCUAAUGCGAGUUUCGUUUUUAGUUGUGCGUCAGUGGUGUUGUGCCGGGGAGUAAGCGUUAGCCCACUUUCACUUUCUACUUUCUCACUCUUUGUCUUUCUUGCUUGUUCGCUAGUUUAUUUGCUUGUUUUGUUCCCUGCAACAACAAUAAGAAGUUGGGGCUAAGUGGUCAAAGUAGCAUAUGAUAGAUUUUAGUAAACAACCAGCAUUGCUUGCUUAAGAAUGGAAUUUCUCGAAUGGAGUUAGACUAUUGGCAGCCCUGUCCUUGCUUCUGGAAAAUGAGAUAACUGACAGAACAUAUGCUAUAUGGAGCCAGACUUAUUACUACUUACAGCUGGCGUAGCCGGACUUAUUAACAGCUGGCGUAGCCGGACUUAUUACUUAUUGCUUGGCUCUUCACUGCUUACUGCAUCCUUUACUUUAAGAAGAAAUAGGUGAACCCGUACUGCUGGCUCUUCAUCACUGUUUACUGCUUCCUUUAAGAAUGAAUAUUAGCACCCGCUCACUCAAGUAAGGGCAGUGUUUCUACUUUACUUUAUACAGGGCUAAGCCUAAGCCGUUUUUCAAAGAUGCUUUAGUUUGCAAGCAGGUCGUAGUGCUUUUGCCUUAUUGUCUUGUCUUACCGUCCCAACUCCAUAAAUGAUGCGCGGUGUACUGAUACUGGGGUAUAGAACGGAUUAUGCGUUAAGUGUACGUACAGAAGGCUAUAAUUCUCAUAUAAGUGUUAGGAGUGAGUAUCUAAUUUGAAUAUAAGUAAGUGUAGUGCACAAAUCGAUUAGUUAAGGUAUAGAGAAAGGGCGAAAGAACAAGUAAACAAGCAGUCAGCAGUAUUGUUACUCAUAGGGGUAGCUCUCUUCAUUUCCAUUCCCAUUAUUAAAGCAAGUGAACAAGAAGCAAGCACUUUCCCGGUAAGUCUCCAAUUACUAAGAAGCUAGUGCGCCUAGCCUAUGAUAUGAGUAAGGCAAAAGGGGCAUAACUGUUGCUAUAAGUGCAGAAGAAUAGAGUAAGCUGUGUCGUUUGAAGGAAAGGAAGCAAAGCUCAGUGAGGUGGAGAACUUCCAUUAGUUGUCCUAGUUGUCAGUUCCAUUACACAAGUAAACUCGUCACUACUAGGCCCAUUCUUUUGCUUGUUUUUAGUUGUUGUCUUGUUAUCAGUGGUCCAAAUCUUAUACCCUUUCUUGGAAUUGGUCUUUCACUUUGGGGUGGAAUUGAAGCCCUUUACCAAUGAAUUAAGCCUUAGUGCCGGGUUGAAGCCUCUGUUUGUGGUUUGAUUCCUACUUCCUACUCCGAUGUACCUUACUUAUGUAUCGAGUUUGAUUCCCGAGUUGUAUUGCUACUUUUGAGUGAAAUAGUAGUAGGUAGAUUCGUAGUCUCUUGUUUCAUUGUUGUAAGCACCAGUAAAUUCCUAGAAGCAUUGGUAUAAUUCCCUUUACCGAGUUGCCAUUCUUAUGAGUAUUAUAUUGGUUCUUACUACACUGUUUCAGUCUUAUCUGUAUUGGUGCAAUUCCCGGUUAGGGUUUCUAUACUCUACUCCUGCUCCACCCAAUCGAAUUCUGUAUUUCACACCUGUUACCAAUGAGUUGGAUUCGAUUCUUUCUUAUCAAAGCAAGGGUUCCUAACGCGCGAAUCCCUUCUUUCCCUUCUCUUCUUUGACCUCUUCUUUGACUUGUGUCCCUCGGAUUCCGUAUUUGAAGUAACGAGUAUAGUAUAGCCUUUGUAGUUCGGGUAACUCUGCCAACUCUUAGCAAGGUGUUGGUCAGUAAAUAAGAAAAUCAAUAAAUAAGAAUAUAGGGGCCGCCUAGAUAUUCCUUUAAGGAGUAAGUAUCAUUCGUAGUGGUUCGAUUCCAUAUUCCUAGCUCAUUCUUUGACUUAUUAGUUGAAAGCCCUGUUUCGUGGAGUAAGCCCUAUAAGUAGUAAGUUAUUAUAAGAUAUAUAGCAGCUCUGCAUUCUCCCUAGUAAACUCGCUCCGUUAAGUACUCUUCUUCUAUAUCAUGAGUGAAAGCCUAGCCUGCUACUGGUGAGUAAAAGCCAUACAUAAAGGUUGGUUCUUAUGUUGAAGCUUACUGUUUUAAGAGUUCAAUCCUGCUCUCUUAUCCCGCGAACCAUUCUUUGACUACUGCAAUUUGUAUCUUAGCCCGGUACCUUACCCUUUUGUUGGAUUCUCUGAUACGCCCACUCCUUCUUUGACUUCUACAUCGUUCUUCUACUUAUGAGUUGAAUUCGAUAUUUGAUGUCAUUGUAUUAGUAUAGUAAGGAUGUCAUUGUAUUAGUAUAGUAAGUACGAUGCCCUUACUUUCAAGGCGAAUUCCUUAUUUCAAAUACUUAUAUUCUUAUUUGUAAUGUCAACAACUAGAUCUUGACUCUACUAGGCAUAACACAUAGCAUAGGAUUAACUACACCAUAAUGGAAUUUGUAUUUCGAUGUUCCGAACUCAAUCUUUCGUGUAAAAGUAAGGAUCCAAUUCAUAAAAUCAGAGAAUGAAAACACUUGCCAACAGCUCCUGAGUGAACCUUUGUUCGUGGGCUUAAGGAGCAAGGUGUAGUUGACAGGUAAGAAAGAAGAGAAUAAAGUACUGGCUCUGGUCCGGUAGAGCUAUCAGGCCAGGCAAGCAGAAAACUCCAAACUGUAGAAAAAAACGAUUAGUUCACAGAGGCAGGUCGGGAAGCAGUUUCAUCAAUAUUAGUUUACAGAGGGUAGGCUCACUUUCAUUCUGAUAUAAACAAGUAUCAUUCUCACUUUCAUUUACAGCACAGAUUCUACUGCUUUGAGGCUAGGUGUGAGUGAGCGAGGUGUGAGUUACAAAGUCAGGUUAUGACCGAUGACCCAGAGGAUAGUUCAAUACCAGGAGAAGAGAGAGAAUCCGCGUAUCUAAUUCAAAUCACUGAGUGGAAGUACCUGAGUCAAAGGGACAGGUAAAGUAGAGGCCGGGUGCUCUAAAGCCUUUCCGGGCAGUAAAAGAAAGUAGAGCAAGAUCAGAUGUGGUUGUAGACCGGCUUAAUAGUAAGGGCCCUGCCCUGCUUGAACUUAAUAAAGAUUCUUUCCCCGAGACUUCUGGAACUAUACUUUAAGACUUAGAGCUACAGCACCAACACCAGACUUUCUCACUGGUAUUCAAUACAAUACUUGAGUCCGGAGCAGAGGCGCAGAAGAGAAAGAGAGUUUCGCGUCAAAAUGCAUUCCUUACUUUCCUGUCCGAGGUAUUCAAUAGAGAGAAAAGCACCUGCCCGGGGUUAAUAAAGAAGUGUUGUUGAUUCCUUACCGCAACAAAGCAUUGAAUUGAUUCGGAUUUCUUAGCAACAUAGGCCUAGGAGCUACUGUUACUAAAAUGCACUAGUGUUACUAAAAUGCGGAUGUCACUAAUUUCAUAGCAUAGGCAACAGUGGAAGGGAUAUCCGGGCAUAGGCAACAGUGGAAGGGAUAUCCUGAGUUGAAUACUGUAGAAGAGCACUUGAUUGAUUUCUUUCUUUAUUGAUUGAUUUCUUUAUUAUAGUUGUUUAUAUUCAAUAACUGAUUCCACUUAGGAUGCUUACUGAGCUAGCAACUAUUCAUUCGACUCCCAGAUCGGAAACUGAAGAACGGGCGGGUCUAGUAUGUAGUCAACUCUAUUCCAUUACUUACUAUAGGAGAACGGAUUCCCUUCCAUUACUUACUAUACUUUUCUGCUUGUUUCUUCCUCUACAUAAUAGUUCCUUACUCUCAAAGCCUUUCUUUGUCUUCCUCUCUUAGAGCGAGUCCUACUGUUAGGAGUGAGUUCAAUAAAAACAGGACUUUGUUGGUAAUAACAAGUUCGAACUCUAUUAUCGAACCCUAUAUAUGGAUAGUCUUGCCCGAACUCUACUUGCAAAACCACUCGUUGCCAAUGCUCUAACUACACUACUUUGAGCUACAGCAGUACUAUAAGUUGAGUUACCAACAAAAGCUAGGGUAGAGAGAGGAUAACCUUAUUUCACUUGCCCGAACAAUACUUUAAUAGCGUAACAAAAGGCAAAGCAACCUACUCUGUAAAGCCUAUUACUUCACUUGAAGAACUGCUACGUGGGUAUUCCAUUCUAAAAAGCUUAUCUUGGGCUUCAGCUCCUUCCCCUGACUUUGAAUCUACUGCUGGAUUGGGAUCUGGAUCCGCUCUAACUUCCCUUUCUUCUCGAGCACCAGGUCAGGUAUGGAAACCUUUAUGGAAACCGUUAUGGAAAUAAGUCAAGUAAAAGUAUCGAACAGCGCAUUCCCUUUUUCAACAACAUUUUCUCCUUUCCUUGCUACUAAUGUUGUGAGUGAUAGGGGCAUCGAAUCUUGAAACUACUCCAGCAGAUGAUCCAUAUUCAGAUCCGUCAUCUCGUCGCCAGGACAACACCCUGCCUUCCCGCCUCAAAGCCAGUAAGAUAUGAUUUCCCUUGAAAACAGGUAAACCGGUAACUUCACUUUCUCACUGUAACUGGAGUAUCGGACUUCACUCCUUCUUGCUUAGCUAUAAAUACUGGUUUAUUUGUUUCUUUCUCUCUGCCCGGUAGUCACUGAGUUAGGGCCAAGCGUAUACUAGACAAUAGGAGCAAUAGGCUAAAUUAGGACUCUCAACCAAACCAAAGAAAGGUUGUUCUCACUCUGGGCUCAUCUAACUCAGGCUACAGCCAAGACACGACUACAAAGGCAACCCAGGCUUUCAGCACCUUACUUUCGGUGGGCAAGGGGCCAAGCAACUUCUAAUGUUGUGCGGCAGGAGCCCCGGCUGGUUUCAUAUACAAAGUGAUAUAGAUUUUCCCCUACUAUUUCUCUACUGAGCAGGUACAUUAGAAAGAUGCCGACUUUUCUGCUUUAUUUAGCUAUUCUUACAGUGUUAAGUCUACUCCCCACUCCUGAAAUGAAGUAUUCCGGGGGUUGAUACCAUCAUUAUUCCCAUCCCUGAAAUAUCAUUCUUCCCAUCCCUGAAAUGAAGUAUGUAGGUUUUCUACCUUAGAGCAGAAAUGCUCGAAAGCCGCCCCGAGAAAGGCUGCCCUUGACUGGACAAUAGAUGAGAAUAGAGAGAUGAUAAAGAGAAUCAUAGAAGCCUCUGCUCUGCCGCGAGCUAUUCCUUAGGAUGAAUCUGGAAUACUGUUUAUCAUAAUCUAUCUCUAAAUCAGAGAUCAUUGAUUUCAAGACAUAAAGAAGAAACUUGGUGCUCAUCCCUUUAUUGAUUCCAUACCAGUUUGGAUUACCUACCCACUUCGGUCGAGGUGAGGAGAAGUGGAUUGAUUCUUCAAUCGGAGGUCGGUGAGUCAAUUGCAGUGACCGAUCCCGCAGUCUUCUAAUUCACACAACUUUAAGCAUAGAAGGCCAAGCAACGGGCAAGCAACUGGGCAAGUAGACAACAAAGACAGAUUCCACAAGCCCAGCAGCUGGCUACCGAGCACAUAGUAAGUCAGAAGCCAAGCAACCUCGGAAAGCACUCUCCAUCUAGUUCAGGCUACAAAGACAGUUAUUUCUCCAAAACACAUAGCAUAAGUAUUUACCUCCUUCUCCCCUACCCAACUAACAAUUACCCUCGCAUCAAAGCCUUUACUUUAUUCUUCCCCGAUAACUACACACUUUCCUUUCCUCUCCUCUCAGUGAAGCUGACCUCUGGCAAACAACCAAUAAGGGCCCAGACUUAGAUGUCAAGCCAAGAACUGAGCUCUACGGGGAAAGCUAAUCAAACACAAGAACGGAAAGAGUAUCUACUGAAGCUGAAGUAGACCUAGACCUCGCAACAAAGAAUGGAAUUGACCUCGCCUCUGUCAACAAUACCUUAAUUCUUAUCCGAUACCUAUGGAAACUGGCAACUUCACUGCUUCCCGAGCCUACCCAUCCUAAAGUGCUUUCUGAGACCAUAAAUCUUAUAGCUCAUUCUUUAAUGACUUAUUCCGAGGCCUGAGUGUGAGUUAAAGACCUGGGUCAUAACAGGAGCAGCCAAUUCUGGAAUCCUUAAUAAAGAUAGAGAAAAUUAGACUUCAUUUUCCCUACUAUGUCUGUACUAAUUGGGUACUGGAGAAAGAUCUAGACUUUUCUGGCACUGAUAGCGGCCCUGCCGCGACACCGAACACAGGACAUAGUAGUACCGUACCUUAGCUACCCUUACCCACACUAGCUACCCUUAGCCCCAUUCUCACCCUCCUUAGCUUCAUUCUCUGUCUCACUUGUUUCAGGCUUAGGUGCACUGGUAUAAAUCUGUAACUCACUUGUUUAGGUCUGGUUGUUGGAUCGGAUAGCCUGUUAGUUAGUAGCUCCAUUCUACCCUUGUUACCACCCGUUCCAUUCCUCAUGCCAUUCUUUAACUACCUUGGCUCAGUCUGAGUUGAACUAGUCUCAUCCCUUGUUUGAUCUGGAAUCAUUAAUAAAGAUAGAGAAAAUGAACCACUCGCCAAGUAACUACUAAUGUGUAGCGACAGGAGUCCUCGGAAAUCUGAUCUUUGCGUUUUCCCGUGUUUUUUCAUAGCGAAGCAAUUUCCCUUAAUAGAGAACCAAAAAGUCAUUCAUUUUUUAAGAAACCCCGUGUUUUUGGGCAGCAACCAUGGUUUCCCUCCUGAAAGGUCUGAUUGAAAUUACAAUUUAGCGUUUUCCCGUGAAACAGCCCUGCCGCACAACUGACGUAGUUGUUUGCCUCAUAGCAAUUGUAGACUUCAGUACUUAUCAUAGGGUGGUUCAAUUCUUUACUUCAGUACCUAUAGCUUCUAUUCGAACUGGAGCUGGACUCUAAUCUACCAACUUAAUAUAAAGCAACAGCCAACCCACCCUAGUGCUAGUGCUCUCAAGUAAGAAGGGCCAAGCAACUGGACAAGCUCACCUCUUUCUUGCUAACCUAAGGCUCCCCUUAUCGCCUACCUGGUGCUCCUCAAUUCCCAAGUUAGGGUGCUCCUCAAUUCCAAAGUUCGAAUGGGACUCAGAAGUACAAGAAGGGAUUGACCUCUUGCCCACUAUUCCAAUUCUUUGAAGACACAACUAUGAGGCUGCUAAGGGUGAGUAGCAAACUCAAAUAAUGGAGUAACCAAAAGAAGAAAUAAGCAUACUUCAAAUAGAAAGUCAGAGUCAAAAGCUUUAAAGGCAGACUGAUCGGUAGGAAAGCAAGCCCUAGAUUAAGUAGUGGCAGGCAAAAACUCACAAGCAAGAAAGAGGGACCAACUACCCCAUAAGAAAAGUCUGAGAAGUACUCGUUUGAUUCCCGGGUUCCCAUAGAAGUAUGUUUCAUUAAAGGCAUUCUUUCCGGUAGUAGUUGUCUUGUCAGCACUAGUUUUCGUUUGAGUUCCGAGCUUGAGUAUCGAGUAUUCUCGGUAGUGGUUGUACUCUAACAGCAAUAGUGAGAGUCUUGCUAGGCAGUGUUUGAUUCCCUGCCCACAAGCUUAUUAUUGUUGGCAUUAGUAUUUGCUUGUUUACAAGCUAAGUCAGAUUUCAUAGCAGUAAAGGCAUCCUUGAGAUCGGUAAGGUGGAGCGUUACAGAUUCGAAGAUCAGCAGUUCGAUCCUUGCUAUCAGUGAUUCAAUUCUGUUUAUUGGUAGUUUCAGAAUCAAAGUCAGUGUCGUAAGCCUGUUCGGCACUAGCUCAAUUCUUUAACCACUACAUUUGACUACUUAUUGCAGCGGGGGGAUCCCAAUAUUCUCUAUUCCGAUUUCCAUUCUUUUAGUGAAUAGCUAGAUGCACUAGAGCCUACACCACCUAUUGGCCUUAUAGCUCUAUAUUUGUAUUAGUAGACUUAGAAACGUAUCAUGACCCCCCUUUGCGUAUCCUUAACCCUUUGUUUGAUUAUUGAUUCCUCCUUCGCUCUGCCAUCCUUAUGUUAAUGAGUGAAACUCUUUUCAUUGUUCCUUUCAUUCUGUUUGUUCCUUUCAUUCUGUAUUUACUACCUUUUGAGUUGUUCUCUUUAUUCCUUUAUGGCAUUCUGACUUGUUAGUUUUCUCCCUAUCUAUUGGGGGUUAUAGCUUAACCCUGGCAUUCCUUUCUUUAAGGCCGAUUUCUCAUUUGAAACCUAUACCAGCUCCCGGAACUCAUAACUACCAAACUUACCCAUUUCCUUAUCUUAGCCUUUCUCGAGAGGAUCUGGUCUAAACUGCUUGUUUUAACCUGACGUUUCACUCGGGCACUCUUCACUUUGAUUCUGAUAUUGAUCACUUCAACGCCCAUGCUUUAGCUCAGGCCUACCACUCCCAACUCCAUGUCUUCAACUACUUUCUCUUAGUAAUAUACUUCUCAUUUGAAUUCCCACACUGCUUACGGCAUCCUAGCUCCCGGGGCACCUACUUAGCCUGGGACUCUUGAUCUCCAAUUAGAAUAUACCUUAGAAUAUAGCAGUAGAUAAGUAAGAAGUACAGACAGGCAUGUAAGUUUUAGACAAGAGAAUGAGAAUCAAAGCCUGCUGCUAAAGCAAGGAAAGCAAGAGUGAGAGCUGGGGGGUGGGUGUCAGGCCGAGAGCAAGUAAAGCAAGACUAUAAGCUCGGAGGUUUAGUUUGAAACUAAGAAGCUAGGAUGUCAGGACCAAGUACGACCCAUAUUCUGAUGAAAGUAAGAUCCCUAAAGUCUUAAGGAGAUUCCUAGCGUUAUCCGUAAUGGUCUGCCAGUUAUCCGUAAUUUGUUGAAUGACUUGUAUCCUUACUUGGACAGCGAUCAGGGAGUUCUAAGACACUCAAAACACUAAGUCAGAAUAAAAGACAUAUAAGUAACUCCACUAGAUAAUAGUGAAGUCAGAAUAAUACUUGUAAGUCAAAUAAUGAACUAGGUGCCUCACAAUACCUUUACUCUUCUAAACUCGUAAUUGCCCUCCUUCUUGCCCAACCCUAUCUGCUUGGACCUUCUCUUCCAACCAAACAUAGUGCUAUUUCUCGCCAACCGUAGUCUAUUUCUUGAAAGGAGCAAAUCCACCACAUAGCCUAUUGUCUUUAAAGUAGGAAAUCCACCUAUACGCCUAGUUAUUUGAAAUAGUCAAUAAAGAAUCCAAUUAGAAAGGGCCAAGCAACGGGCCAAGCAACGACUAGACGCCAAGCGCCAAGACACUACCACUCCUUCCUUUCUUUUACAACUAAUGAAAAGCCUGCUAUACCUUGAUCUCAGCCUACCCCUUCCUAGCUAUUAGUCUUACAGCCCUUGACUAAAUCUAUCUCUCCUCGCUAUCCAACUGGCUUGGAUGCUUAAUUGCAUCCUUUCAUUACUGGCUUAAAGCCCUUGACUACCUUUUCUAAUUCCUCAACCCACGGUAGGAUCCAGUGUAUCUAACAAUUGAAUAAGCAACAGGGAAUCCAAUACAUAACUACUGAGAUCAAUUACCUUUCUAUUGAUUCCAGCGUACACUAUUGAUCCAGGCGGAGGGGAUUCUUAUCAUCCAUGUCCUCCAUCCGAUCUAUACCUUGAAUUCUGUAUUGAUAGCUUGAGUAUGUCACUACCAAACAUAGGAGAGAUGUAGAUGUUUUCACGGGCUAGAGAGAGAAGAGAGAGGUCGGGCAAGCUUCAUGACUCAAAUCAAUUCAGCCAGGUACAGGUUCGGCAGAGAUGGAGCCAGGGAAGGUCUUCCUUGACCAGUUUGGGCCUUACCGAUGCCUUCUGCUCGCAGCCGCCAGCGGGUGCCCCGGAUUCCGGUUCUAUCGCCGGGGAUAUAGCGUCUUAGAGAAUUCCUAAAAUACCUUGAUUGCAGGAUCACGGAAGGCGUGCAAUGCUGAUAGAUCACUCAAUCCUAUUCUCUUUUCUCAGUUUCGAUAACUUGUAGAUCUGCAAGACAUAUUUAGGGACCAAAGCCCUCUUUCUUUGUAGGGGAAUAGAUAGCAUAAGGUUACCCUGGUCAAAGAAGGAUCCGGCUCUCAUAGACUGAGGAGAGAGAUAGUAGCGCCCUUUCCUAUUCUGAUUUCUUUCUGGUGGGUCAAAGAAGGAUCAAGACCAUAGUUAUGAAACUUUAUAGGUUGCGAACCACUUUUUCUGUGCGCGAGAAAUAUUCCCCCUUUCAAUAACGCUACUUCUACGCUUCCUUUGAGGAUUACGACCUAUCGGCAGACUUAGCCUCAGAUGAUAGGACCCUUCGGAAUGGCUAAGCGGAGGAGAGGAUUCUGACAAUGAUGUUAGUAAGCACAAGCACCGGAAAUCAAAGAAGAAUUAUGUUAGGAAGCCGGAAAUCAAACCACUUACUUCUGGUAGACCUACCUUACGUUAGCCUGUAGCUUCAAGCCGGGCCACGCAGACUUGUAGGCAAGCUAGCGGAUUCAGGGGAUUUGUAUAAGUACUGGUAAGUAUAUGAAAUGGUAUUAGUACUGGUAUGAUCUAGUACCGAUAACUAGUGGUUGCUUGGCCGGGGAUUCCUAAGGAACAAAGGGACGAGAACACUGGGUGGCAGGGUUAUUAUCUCUAGAAACUACUACCGGCGGUGCAACUCUCACAUCAGCUACAAAGAACCGGUCGGCUACCAAGAAAAAGAUAGAGGAAAAACAGAGUCGUUGGCGGCCUGCUAUAGAAAGAAAGACGUAACUCGCUUAGGGGAGGGAGGAAGUCAAUCUAUUUCCAUUCAUGAUUAUAGCCUAGGCCGAUGGUUUACAUCAAAUACUCACAUGCAGUUGCCAAACGACCCUAUAGUAUGAGGAACUAUAAGGCGGAUGCUAGGCAGAUAGAUGGGCGUAGAGAAGGUUUACCCUUAAUUACCACCAUCAUUCUAUAUCUGGUAGCGAACUUGAUAAGCAAAGCAUAAGCCCAGUAAAUAAUAUGUUCAAAAGGAGGGGUCUGCCCAAUAGAGCCAAAUAUAGAACGAUAUAGACGAAAGGUGUCCUUAGGCAUCGCGAUGCAAACCUAUAUAUUGAAGUUAGCGGCCGAAACACUUUUAGGAAGAAAGAGUUGAACCUAUGUUGAUGAACCGCCUCUAGACCAACGUUAUAAUAGUGCUCCGAUAGUCAGGAAGUUGAGAUCAAAGGCAAGCUGUUACGACUUUCUAAAUAAGAUGAAAAUCCAUCUAUCCUUCUAGCAUCUUAGGAAGUAGGGCUCGUACCCAUCUCUCCAUCAAAGCAGACGUCCUAUCCACUUAUGGCAGGGGUAUCUUCCAUCUCUAUCAAAGAAAGCAGACGUCCUAUCCACUUAUGGUAUAGCAAGCAGGUAUCUUCCAUCUGUCUUCUCCUCAAAUAGUUGUUAUCCUUAGGAUGCUCUUUCACAAGAUUGUGCCGGCAUUAGAAUAAGGGGGAAGGGAUAGAAUCUCCAAGCCAAGCCCAAGAUCAAAUCAAUAGCAAAUAAGAAAUCAAGUGUGAAGUGAAACACUCUCUUAUUUAGAUAGAGAUCCUUUCCAAUUAUUGCUACAGAAGUAAUGGCCUACCUCCUAUGCCCUUUGACCCCAAAGAAAAAAGAAGUCAAUUUGCUCUUCCAUCUCGGAGUGCUCCUAUGCUAUGUUAGCAAGCAGAACAUUUCCAGCAAGCAAGUGACCUCUAUGUCUCGGCCUCGUAAAAGCAACUUCCUUAUCUAGACGAGACUAAACUUAACCUGAGGGGAACCGCGGGCAGCGGAUGAUCUUUCUUCCCUUGAUGGUUCAGCUACCCUUGACUCUUUUCUAGCAUUUGUUUACUCUGACCUAUACUAUGCACGCGAAAUUCUCAUUAAUGUGCGUAUUGGCAAGAAGAAUCAGAUAGGUAGCUUCACACUCAACCUACAGCUCCAAGUUCAAAGGUGAAGUAAGUAACAGCUGUUUCUUUCGCUUAAAUACACUUGUGAGCGGGCGCUAACAGGAGCUUGGGAAGUACUCUCUUCUGCCCUUCCGAAUACUGAUACGCCUGUUGUAUCUUCUUUACCAGAAACUUGACUUGUGUACUAUCUUCUUUACCAGAACUUUACUUGCCAACCUCUAUUUGAAUGAAAACUGGUUGACUUCUCCAGCUUAUGUAUCAAAGCCNNNNNNNNNNNNNNNNNNNNNNNNNNNNNNNNNNNNNNNNNNNNNNNNNNNNNNNNNNNNNNNNNNNNNNNNNNNNNNNNNNNNNNNNNNNNNNNNNNNNNNNNNNNNNNNNNNNNNNNNNNNNNNNNNNNNNNNNNNNNNNNNNNNNNNNNNNNNNNNNNNNNNNNNNNNNNNNNNNNNNNNNNNNNNNNNNNNNNNNNNNNNNNNNNNNNNNNNNNNNNNNNNNNNNNNNNNNNNNNNNNNNNNNNNNNNNNNNNNNNNNNNNNNNNNNNNNNNNNNNNNNNNNNNNNNNNNNNNNNNNNNNNNNNNNNNNNNNNNNNNNNNNNNNNNNNNNNNNNNNNNNNNNNNNNNNNNNNNNNNNNNNNNNNNNNNNNNNNNNNNNNNNNNNNNNNNNNNNNNNNNNNNNNNNNNNNNNNNNNNNNNNNNNNNNNNNNNNNNNNNNNNNNNNNNNNNNNNNNNNNNNNNNNNNNNNNNNNNNNNNNNNNNNNNNNNNNNNNNNNNNNNNNNNNNNNNNNNNNNNNNNNNNNNNNNNNNNNNNNNNNNNNNNNNNNNNNNNNNNNNNNNNNNNNNNNUAAACCCAAUGAUAAGACUCACGUGAGCACAACUAUAAACUAAACCCAUAGCGCUAAAGACAGGAAGUGUCAAGAGCAAACCAAGUCCUUUUGAUUAGACUGAAGUGAGUUAGAACAGCAGUAACGGGGGAAACAAGAUAUAAGCUAUAAAUUGAGUUUCUCCGAGUUAGAGAAUGAGCUAAGCCAAUAUACCUUUAACCGAGCUCUGUUCUGGUAGGCCCGAGUAGUGGUAAAAGUCGUCACCGAUGUAGCUCAAACUAAGUCAUUCAGAAGAAAAGUUCCAGAAAAACAAUCCGUCUUGUUCCCCGCUUAUAGUGCUAGGUAUGAGAUAUUGGGGUCACUAACCUCACCCAGGAAUUCUUUUCUUAAAGCAAUGUCCUUAAUUCUUGUUGUUUGGCGCAAUGAGUUAGGAGUUGUGUGACUCAAUAUUAGGAGUUGGGUGACUUGAAAUAUAUAUAUACCUUGCUUUUCUUGUGUCAGUGAAAGAAAUGAUUUCGAGUUAAGUUCACCGCACCUUAUUGGCUGGAGUGAAACUGUUAGGUAGAGCAGGAGCAGGAACAGGAAAUGUAGACGCACUAACGGAGUUCAAAAGCAAGUCCUAAGUUCACCUAUAUUAAUGGUAUAUAUGGCACGCAUACAAGUUUGAUUGUUGCCUUUGAUUCGAGGCGAGAGAUAGCCUAUCACUGAACCCUAAAUUCUUAUAUGAUUGUAGUCCACUCAAUUCUUAAAGUAAGGAGCGGCUUGGGGGGCGAGUAACGUCUAGGAAAGCAGUAAACCAUAGAGCAGGAACUGGCACCGAGUAAACCCUCUUCUUAGUUGCUAUCCUCUUAUCUAUCCCUAUUCAUUGAGUGUGCUAGCAACCAACAUAGGGAAUUUGCCUAAUAGAGCAACGAAUGCAUUAGUAAGCGCAUUGGUGAACUUGAACAGCCGGGUUUUGGUGAACUUGAAUAGCGGGCAUUGACUUAUCACUUGUGCUUUUCUCUUUGGGACAGUAAACCCGGACUACUCUACUGGUUGGGCAAGGGGGAAGGAACCUAAAAUGGAGUUAUUGCAACAUAGCUCGGUGAUUCUGCUUCCACUAAUUGAUUUCCUCGGAUUGGAAGACAUAGGCGAUGAUCCUUAUUGCGUUUUCUCGUGCAAGAGAAGGAACCGCUCAUAGGCUUGACUCGCCCUUAACGGUACGAGCUAUAGUCCACUUUACUCGCACUGAUCCUUAACUUAAUCCAAUUCAACGAGUAGCGGUUACUUAACUAAUUACUCUUGUCUGAUUCUUUUCUCUUUCAACUAUCGAUUAAGUUAGUCGAGCAGGAGCAAAAAUGCAGGAUAGUUCUCUAGCUAAGCAAGAAGGAGUGUUUUCCGUGUAGUUACUAAGGUAUGCUUGCCUGAUAGCAUUGGUUAAUGGGUCAACUCUUAUUAGAAGAUUCAAUUGGAAUAAUGGAAUGGAAUUGAAACUAAUUCAACAGCCCCUCUGUAAACUAUACUAUACCCGAAGCCUCGCCUGUAUACGUUGCUUGCCUCUUAGACCGUCAAUACUGAGUGCAAUUCUUUAAUGAAAUACCAGAUGUGGCAGAUUGGUCAUAUAACUACUGAGUGCAAUUCUUUGACUUUACUACUUUAGAGAACCGGUAGUUUCUUUCCUCUUUACUUAAACCAACCCUUGUUUCUGAUUUCCUCUUUACUAUACUAGUAAUUCAUUCUUUUCCAGGAAUUGACACUCCUGACGCGCAACUACUAGCUAAUGUCGCAGGUCACUUUCAUUUCUCGCCUAUUGCUCCCGUUAGUGCUUACUUGCCAUCUGACCCGACCUCUCUACUUCUACUAAUAAGAAUAAGAGAUCUGCUAAAAAGAUAUGAAACUAAGAAUAAGGGACUGGUCUUCCAUUCUGCAUUUAUUAUGUCUUAUACAACUACAACUACAGAAGCGGUCCUACUACUCAACUUAGAAGUGGUCUUCUACCCUAAGUUCAUCACUUGGCGACUCGGAACCAUCAAGAUGUUAGGCUUGAGACGGCGCUAAUGGAGUGGAAUGGAAGACCGCUUCUAAUUCUAAGUAGAUAUACCUGAUAAGUAGGAAUACCAGAGUUAGGAGUUCCACUUGUCUAGUAGUAGCUAGCCGGGGCUAAAGUUGCAUUCCAUUGAAACAAAGAAUUGAUACUAAGAAGGUAAAGAAGAAGCAUCAUACGGAGGAGAAGGAAAGGCGGAAGGGAAAGAUACGGGGUCGCUGCUUUAGUAGUGAAGUGACUUAUUAAAAGGAAGAAAGGACGAGAAAAGAAACUACUAGCUAUGUAUAGGUGUCUAGACAGGAGUGGAAACACUAAGAAUUGAGGUAAGUGGAAACUCCUAAUAAUAAGAGUAAGAAAUAAACAAAUAACAUUGAUGUAACAAACAGGCGAGCAGAGGGGGCAAAGGGGUCUUGAUAACUAGUGAAAAGUAACAGUGAAGAAAGUCAGGUUGGGAGAAAGCGAAGCCACAUACUCACAAGAUUCCAGACUUGAUGAUAGAAAGGAGGUAGAGGGAAGCUAACAAGCUGUGUAGAAGAAAACGAAGAUAGAGCGAGAGAAGCUACGAGCGCGAAGGCGAGUGAGAGUGCUAGAGUUCCAGUGAGCAACUGGAGGAGUGAGGGAAAAAUGAGUAUGCAUUAGUGUAGAGUUGCCUCCAGAGGAGUGAAAGAGAAGAGGGAAGAGAAAGAGGUAUGUAGUUGUAAUAGUAGAUGUAUCGGAGUUCAAGAGGCAAGUUAGGAUCUUUUGAAAGGAGGGAAAGAGUUGGGAAGCGAGUGAAUUAUAGGAGGGAAAUACAAAAGAGUAGCGGGAAAGAGGAGGAAAAGGCAAUACUCAACUCAGAGGUUAAGGGUAGGCAUAAAAGAAAGGGUUAUAGCAGUAUCAAAGAGCGAAAGAGCAUAGCCGAGGCUUGACUUGCUCAUAACUUGCUAGGAAUUCGCUGAAAAUAGUCAUUAUUUUAGGCUUAUGGUAUCCGUGAAAACCCCUGUUUAUGGUUGUUUAGGGUAUAACUCAUCAGUAGUGGCUUGGCGUUUCAUCUUAUAAAGAAGCAAAGCAGGGUUAGUUAGGGCGUAGAGAGAAUCACAAGUUCUUUCUUCGGGAGUCCUGUAUUAAGGGUGGCAGGGCCGCUAGUCAAUUGAAUUCCACUCCUUACCCUCCCUAAACUACUCCUCUCCUGUGAGCGCAGAACUUCUCCUUAAAGAAUUGGAGUGCACCGUACUACUUAUAGGAGUUGUGUUAAGACUUCAGAGCUCAAUCCUCUUCUUACGUUUGAUACCUGAAUUCGGCAACUAUACCUUAGGCUCAUAUACCGAUGUGUUUGUUGGCUUGACUUAGUUUGUGUCUUACUUAGUUGCUUGGUGGCUUCAACUCCAAAUAUAGGCUUUCUCACUUAGUUGCACAGGAAUAGAACUCAGGAAUCAACCUACUACUAUUAGAUAGAGCUCAACCAACAAAAGAGAGACUGAAAGAACUCCCCCAAUACUGUAACUCCGGGGGAAAGAGCGGAGACUUUCAAUAAUGAGUAUCGGGCUUUAUCCACUAACUCAGAGUAUAUCACUAUCCAUAAUAAUCAAACAAAUAACUAAUACUUGAACUCCCAAGCAACUACCCCUGUAUCUAAGCCCACCUUUCCUUAACUCAAAUCUGUAUUAUCAUCUAUCGACUUAGACCAACAAGUGCAGUUUUCCCUUAUACUCUUGCAAACCGACACCACUGUCUCUUGUCCUCUGACUACCAGCCUGUGACUCAUAGCUUUCACUCUGCUAUUCCUCGAUUAGAGCCUUGCUUCCUGGGGGGUCUAUUCUUAUUGUGAUAUUCUAUUUGAAUAAAGAGUUGAACUGGAGACACCGGAAUAGAACCACGGCAAACUACUUACAAGGCCCGAUGCACUAAGCAUAUGGCUAAAAACAAGGAAUGCGACGCGACGACGGCUUAUCAUAUCGAUACAAGAGAAAGGGAAUGCCAGGCCCAACUAUAAGAAUCGAAAGUGAAGAGUUAAGACCCGGAAGCAGAGGAAUCAUAAUCGCGGUUAGUGCUCUCCAGCUCAAGUCUAGGUUUGGAUACUUAUAAUGCUAGGUAUAGUUCGGGAAGGGAAGUUGGUAGAGCGGAGACAUUGCUCUAGUUUGAAGCAAGUAAUGGGCAGAUUUACAUCAAGGAGUAAAGGAGUGGGUUCAGCUCACGGGGGUAGUGUUUAGUUCCUGUUAGCGCGAGUUUCCAUUGUUCAUCGACCUAGGACAAAGGCACGGGCAAGAUAGGGCGUGGAGGCACCGGGUGUUUGACUUUCAGAAGAAUGCAGUUUAUUAGUUUACAUAGGAGUGAAAGGCUUAUUAGUUUGUUUACAGAGGAGUGAAAGGCUCUCCCGAGUGUCCUCAUAAAUUGAUUCCUACCGACCCUGUAGGGAGAUACUUUAUGGCGCGUAAUUAACAGAGUGGCGCGUAGUAUAAUGAAUUCCCUAGCUUCCCUGUCUUUGGAAUCUGAUCAGUAGCAAGCAGUUCUGAAAGUAUUGUUUCGGGUGUUGGUCAGGUGUUCCAGCUACUAGAUAGUAAGGUUAAGGCAUGUUUUAUUCGAGUGUCAAUUCCUAUAAUUCAUAUAUAAUAAUCAAAGUGAUCUCGAACACUUUCCUCGCACUGCUAAUUAUUUACUGUCUUUUUGACCCCGCUGGUAGGUAAAACAGGGUUGCUGCCUUUUUGACCGGGUUUCAUAAAAUCAGAUCGUCUCUUGCUCCCUUACGUGCUUCAACGACUCGGGCUCAGCUCCUGCCGCUACACUUACUACGUUCCUUGGCCCUGAACUUGGCGCCUCUUUUCUUCUAUUCCGUUUAUGUAGUUGACUUUUCCUCUGACUUGCAUUCUUAGUUGACUUUUCCUCUGACUUGCAUUCUAUAUAAGGAGAAAGCUCUUUCUUACUCAGAAGGAUAAAGCUCCUUCUUACUCAGGUAGAAUAUUGUAUUGUUACUUGAAUGAAAGGAGGGAUCCGGUAUAAUAGAGUGCGGGUAGCACACGAGGAUGUGCAGUGAAUACACUUAGGGUACACCUCGGAAAGAAAAGAAAUGGCAUUCAUUCGAAACGCACCCUGCAGAGAAAAACUGUAUCAGGGGGAAGGUUGUCUAACGGAAAAAAUCUUAUAGGUAAGUUAUAAGGUAUGAGUUAGAAGGUAUUCUUUUAUAGGGGCGAACAGUGCCCAAGUAAUCCUGCGGGUCUAAAUUCCUGUAAUUAGAAUAUCAUAUGGAAGAGCAUCCGGUAAAAAUGACUUCUUGAGUCCUGUUUCAACAGUGUUUGUAGCCCUGGAAUCUUUGUUUGUAGCCCGAGUUAGAUUAGAGUCCUGCUCCAGCUAUUUCGUACAAUACAUUUGGAAAAAACUAUAGUAAGUGAAGCACGGUGGGUUGCUCCCGAGCGUGUAGUCCUGUUAGCCUAGUUGGAGUUUUCUCAUAUAAAGAAGAAGAUCUCGGAUCAACACUAAAGUAAGCUCCGCUCCACAGUAUAAAAGAAAGGUGAAGUGCACUUGUAAGGAAAUAUUAGAUGUUGAAGAGGUAAGCUGUAAAUACAGUUUAGGUAGCAGCGGUACCGGUACAAAGAGCAGGUGUUGUGGUAAGAGAAUAUGAUCUCGGCACACUUCCACCGAGUUUGAAUCUAGAGAGCAUCCGGAUGAUGAAUACUUGGAGAUCAUGGAGUCUGCAACAGAGUAUCUUUCUCUUCUUUGAUUUCUUCUCAAAUCUCUAGCCUCGUUCACAUUCAUUGUGUGAAUCAGAUCUGGACACUACUUGGUUGUUCUUUAGUACGUUGGGACAUCAAUCCGCUGCUUUCAUUGCUCCUGUCCAUUCUUGUGCUUUUUUGUGGAUUUCUUCACUACUGAAUUCCGUAGGUAUACCUAUAAGUAUAGCUAGUACAAGGCUUGACUCUGGUUCCAUUUUGUAGCUUCACCUGACUUUAAAGAAAGCUGGAAUUGGAACUCCCUCUUUCCUGAGCAAGCCCAUAAAAGUAGUACGUACUCGGGUGUCUGCUCGUGGAAUAGAAAUAGUUGGGUAGUAUAGAUAUGCUUGAGAUCAGAGAAUAGCUCCAUAAUCAAUAGAAAACUGCAAUGAAUUACACACACGCAAGUGGUGGCUCGGUUAGAGGAAGAAGCUUGAGCCUCUGCACUACCGAGGACCUGCUAAAAUCAAUCGAUUGCAUCAGAUAUGCCAAAACCACUUACAGGUCUUUCCAAAGAGCAUAAAGAACAAAAGAAAUAGAAGUAAAGUGGACUCGGAAAGAAAAGAGAUAGUGAAACCCUCUCCAAUUUGAGAUCUAUCUAUCCUUAUAAGUAGGAAUCAAAACCUACUAAAUUCCCCCACAUGAUUAGACUAAUGGAGAAAGUAGAGGUAUUAAAAAAACCCUAUACUCCUACUUCCCUUUAUUUGAUAUUUCCUAAAGGUUAGAUUCCCAAACUUGGCUCUAUAAUAAGAGUGAGCGCUCACACUUUCUUUAUGGGGAGCAUCUAUUCAAAGGAAAUGUUUCGGCCUGCAGGAGAGGCAUCUUACUUUCCUACUGACUGAAUCACUGAAAUCUGUUUAAGGAGGUUUCUACUGGAAGAGACUCCGCGUCGGGGCGGUCGGGGGUUCAUUACGAGUGGGCAUGAACUGUAACAAAACUCAAGUAAGCCCUAAUUCCGGAACCGUAACGGGAACCACCCUGUAAAGUAAAGAGCCUCGCCUAAAGGACCAGACCCGGAGCUGAGAACAAGAUCGCAAGCGCAACUUCUCAUUCGAAGCAUGAAAGUGGUCAGGUCACUUAGAGCCGGAAGAGAUAAUAGUUGCCUUAUUAAAGGUUGGGGCGAAAUCUGUCAAAUACAAGCAAGCAAGCCCUUCUAUUUCUCUAUUCAAUCCAAGGCCUACCUCGAUACACCUGUGUCACAACGGCGGAUCUUUUGAGUGAGGGAAGCCGGAGCAUUGGUCAAGAGAUAGAAAUCAGAGGCACUAUAGAUCGAGAAAAACACAUUAGCUACACCAGCGUGUAUUAAGAAGUUUCUUUUUGAUCCUAUUUGGAGACUUUCCGGUUACUACUUAGCUAAAGCACUCCUCAACCAACUAAGAAAUGGAUUAGCAGUUACCCGAACCCUCCUAUCACAACAAGGCAGAGCUAACCCUGAAUUCGACUGCUCUCUAAAAGGCCUGCCUAUGAAAUUAGUAAAGCUUGGAUAACAUAGUACUAGGACUUACUAGAUGAAAGACCGUGAUUGGUUAAGGUACCCAAUAUUAGGUAGCUGCUCCAUCUAUCGGAUCUUUUCUAAGAGGGUUAGGUGGUUGAGUCGAAGCGUAGAAGGAGACAAAAUCAUCGGUCGUGCCCGGGGUUGAUUUCCUACUUACAGCUAAAUGAGGGUUUUUGACGUCAACUCUGCUGGAAGCUAGAUCCAAUCUACUGGUCUUUCGUUCGCUAUUCGAAUGUCUUGGACCAGUAUAAAUGUCAGAAAGGUGGUCUUGUCCUUUCCUACUAGUACGUCGCUAGUAGCUCCUUAGUUGAUCUCUCCUCUUCCCGGCCGGCUGUUACUCGUAUGUCCAGACAACGCAACGACUAUCGAUUCAACGAACCCAUAGAUUCUUCUAUCAUUCGACCAGAUCUUCUAGAUGUAUUCUAAUUCUCCGGCCUCGAGCAACUUUACUCAAAAGGGAAAUGCCCUUAAUUCAUUUUGGAUUAGUUUACAGCUUUUUCACCGAGCGGUUCUUCAAGUAGAGUUCCAGAAGCCGAAUGCUAAUCGAAUGCUGAGGUUGAGUCUCAAGGAGAAGCGGAAUAAAGAGCAGAAGAAUAAGCUUGAGCAGAAUAAUAAGCUUGAGCAGAACAGAAGCAGUAGGCACAGGAGUAGUUUCAAUUGAAGUUGUGGAAUUCUUUGUCGCCAGCCAGCACGCAUAGAAUCUCCGUAAUCAACUGUAGCGCUCUCAAUUCGAAGUUUCAAAAUGCAAUACUAAGUCUUCCAUUCCAUUCUGUAUUUUCCAUUCCGUUUUUCAAUUAUGAAAUGAGGUUUUCCAUUCUUUAUCUGUCAUAUUACUUUUGUUCUAUAUAAGACAUCCCCUUGAAACAAAUCAUUCUGAAACUUCACCUCAUAUAAGGAAGUAAGUCAUAUUACAAACCAAUAUAUCCAUACCAUCUUUGAAACAAAUCAUUCUUAAACGGAAACAAGAAAGUUCCAUUCUCACUUUGGAGUCUAAUGCACUAGAGACCCUAUUCCUUGAGUCUAAUGCACUAGAUCUAACCCUAUUCCUAGUCAGAUUUGUAGAAUAGAAGACCCUAUUCCUAGUCAGAUUUGUAGAAUUAUUAGACGCAGAGCAGGAGUACAUCCCUAUUGAAUAUAAUGGAAGUACGACAUAGAAGAAUAGGCUUGAAGAGCACUAGACUAGGGGGGCGAUGCGAGAAGAGAGGGCCGAAAACAGGAGUGGAUUUCUGACUUGGAAACACUGAUACUAUAUUCUUUAAGUAAGGAGCAAACAAGCAGACAGCUUUCAUAUAAGGGAAAGAACAAGUAGUGGCCCAGCCCAGUGGAAUCCGUAUGAGUUUACAGACUUACCGCAAUUAGUACAUCUGAGACUAACGAGUGGAAUUCUGACCUUUCUGCACUUUGAGUGGAAUUCUUUGUUUCAUCUGUCUUAGUUGACAUAGGUAUCGGAGCCAUAGGUAUAGAAUCACUUGUGACCUAAUUUACUGAUUUCUUUGACGGAUAUCGGUCAUAUCUAUCGGUCAUAACCAUACUUGAGAACUUGAAUUAGAGAUGAAACUAGUCAGAAUGAAGCCAGAGAAGGUAUCGAAUAGAGUUUACGAUUUCUUCUGUUAGGCCUGUACCUGCGCCUUAACCCUACUUUAGAGCAGAGAGAUUCGCUGUUUUGAAUCCAUUCUCUUUCUCAUAUAAGAUAGAAUGAAAGACCUUAGAGCGAGGUAUCUUCACCAGGCAAACAACUCCUCAACAAGCAACUCAGGGCAUUUCGUAUAUCGAGAAAACGCAUCUUUGCAUUCAACUACGAGGGGAAUGUUUUCAACUGACAAAGCUACUACUCGGGGCUUUGAGGCUUCCACUCACUAUAGGUAGGCUGACUCGCUGGCUUAAGGCUUCUACCCACUAGCUCCCGAAAACAGUUAGUCUUAAGUUGACAAGCAGUAGUCCAGUGGAAUAAGAGGUUUAGUGUAGAAUCAAACCGGCUCUCCAGUAUCUCGAGUUUAUUAUUUCCUAUUUCACUCCUGUACUCCCUUUCCUCUUUCACUCCUGUAAUUGAGAACUCUAAGAAUUAAUACAUCUGUACUGGGUUGGUUCAGAGCACUUAGAGUUGAGUUGACUUUCCUCGCACCAAUUCACUUAAGGGCUGAAACACCUGAGUUAGAAUGAAACGUCGUAGUCAAAGAAUACAAUUACGAGCUAAGGCUAAGUCAGAGGCAUAGGUACCUGUUUUUGCUGUUCUAGUUCCUGAGUUUAUAACUUCUUAUUUAGGGGUUUGUUGCGCAAGAGGUGAGAAAGGCACUAAGCCUACUUAAGGCCUUGAAACCAACCCGUAGUACUGCUAUGGUUCUUGUUUAAUACCGAAUAGCUUCCUCGCCCGCCUGUCGAACAUGAGUCCGAUUGUGUGUCUCAGAUGGAUAAGGUAAGUCCGCAAGUUCGGGAGCAGAUUCCUUAGGAGCAGGAAACUCCAUUCUUAUAGAUUCCGGAGGAGGAGUUACAGAGUUACCGACAAAAGUGAAGUUAAAGAAACCCAUAUCACUGAAUUCUAUCUUUCUAAAGGAGAACUUUCUAUAAAGGAUAACUGAUGAUCCAGCUUUCAUAACUGCUGCAUCUCGGCACCCUCUGCCCUUAACCCAGCUUCCGAACAAGUAAUUGAAUUGGAAGACCUAGCUCCUAGGCUCAACUCUAACAACAUCUUUUCUUAGACCACAUAAGACCAGUAGAAGACCGUGUACAGGAGCUCAAUCAAUAUAAGUUAGUAUGGGUUAUAAACGAGUCCUUAUUGUCUACUCCGACAACAAAUCAUUGAACCCUGCCCAAGCUGCUGGCAACAAUUCUCUACUUCCCGCUUCAAAGCAAGUACUUUACCUCGUAUCAAACCUCGUAUCAAAGCAGGAGUCCUCUUCAACACCCGAACCGAACUCACUCUAUUCUCUAAUCUCUAACUAAUGAUCCCAAGGCUUACUCCCUUUUUGACAGCCUCAGGCGUAUACUACAGUACUUCCCCCUAACAAGCAAGUCAACUACCCGAGCCUAGGUAAACUACCCGACCCUCAAAAGUCAGUGCACUACCCUUACUUCUAUUCUCAAACUACUUACCUCGGAUCUUACAGUUGCGGGACUAACUGAAACAGCUUCUUUGCCUUCUUCCUUUCGAUUGUUAGUCUCAUUAGUCAGCUUCAUCUUUCUACUCCUUAGUUUAGCUCUUGCUUGUUAGCUUCAGAGCCCUUAUCUCCCUUAUCUAAUUAUCCCCUUCCCCGCUUUUCGCCUAUCUUUUAUUGGUAUUCUUUUCACUUAUAUAUUAGCAUGUGUGUUUUAAUAUGAUUAUUGAUUAGUAUUUUCUUCUAUUUGAUUAGGGAAAUUAGACUCAAAACCACAAGUUCUAUUUCUGUUCCCUUUAUCGCAGUUGGUGCCGGUGUCAAGUAAACAUCAUUCUUAUGAGGUCUCAGUUCAAACUUUCACUCUGCUCUCCCUUUCUUGCCUUUAAGUUGGAAGCUCCUUUACUGGAUGCACUGGAUCAUACCAUACCCGUUCGGAUAUUAACUCUACCCUUUUUCUUAUUUGUAAUAUCCGCCUUAAAAGCAGUUGUUUGGUGGUUCGAAGUAAACAGUAUAAGAGGGGUACAGAACUCGACUAAGCUAUUUCAGAAUUUAUAUACUACAAAAUAAAUUGAGUAAGCACUAAGCAAUUGAAGCACGAGAGACAGUAAAGCAAGCGCAAACCAACUCCUAUCUAAUCGUCUUAACCUGACUUUCUAACAGGAACAGGACAUUCUCCACUGUAAACUAGAACAGUCCAUUCUGCUGCUGGCAAGUGCUACUUAUAGGAUGGAAGGCACCUAGACUUCACUCCCACUCAAAGAUAUUCUCUAAGACACCUUGGGCUAAGAUGGGAGGCCUAAUGGUUGAACUUCUCUUACUUACUAACUCUAUACUGCGGAUUCUAUUACAGCCGAUGAGGAUCUUUCUUCUGCUUCAAAGCCGAUACUUUCUUUUUAUUCUUCCUCGACAAGAAACACCACUUUAUGACCGCCGCAACUGAUCUUGUUCCCGCUUCGGUUUAUUCUCCCGCUUCUGGUCUCUAUUACUUUCCGGAUCCCGUUUCUGAUCUCGUAGACUUUCCAGAUCCAGCUUAUGGUCUUACUGCAAAAGAAUUACCUCCUUCGGCAUUAAACUAGGGCCCGAACAACACUUUCCCUGUUUCCGAUGCUUCCUCUUUAGUGACCAACAUCUAUUAGACCCCUAUUAGAACUUGAACUCUGACUUCGAUGUUAAUACCCAGCUCUUUUGUCAUUACAAUUCCGACAAGCAACUAAGCGCCAAGCCUUCAACAAGGGAGUUACAGAACGAAACAAAGAAGUGCAAGGCUGAAACACUACCUAGCAAGACCUGAACCAAGGGAGUUACGGGCUAUCCGACACCUGAGGCACAGACUGCUACUGGUGCUUAAGAAUCCAACUCACUCGUCACAGAACCAAGCCAGAGGGAGUCCAAGCCUGGCCAAGCAACUACUAAUGACCAAGUCCUGUGUGAAACUGGAAAGGAAGCACUAACGGGAGCAAGAUCGGUCUACUUUGAAAUGCAUUAUUUAUCAUCGCCAAGAUGUUUUUCGAAGGAUUUCCUAUCAAACUAGGAAACUGUCCUUAUAAUGCAUUGACGCCUAUAAUCUUGACCCUAUUAACAUCUGUACCCUACUGCUCUGCUCUGCUCUGUCAACAAUACCUGAAUUCUGAUCCUAUCACUCUGGCUUGGCUCUUAUAUUAGACUUCUCCCCGGGGCUCCUGCCGCUCUGUGUUCGGUGUUUUGAAUUGGAUUUCCCAUCAAACUCAAUAAGUGACCAAGCAACCUCGGAAAGCACUCUCCAUCUAGUUCAGGCUACAAAGACAGUUAUUUCUCCAAAACACAUAGCAUAAGUAUUUACCUCCUUCUCCCCUUUAUUUACUUCCCUCAACAAGCUUAGGCGCAAGAGAGAGAAGGAUCAGUGCCAACUCGCUAACGCUAUAAGCUUGCACCGGCAAACUCCAAAAUACUAUAUAUAGGUCGUAACGGAACCAGCAACUGAAUCAGCUGGGCUAAAUAAGCAAGUAUACAGGGGUGCCGAGUACAUAAUAUUGUAAUAACCAGAGAUUCAAUGAUUUGUUGCUUCAGCAAAAGAAAAAGUAGAAUCAUCGGUUGAGUCUCAAUCUCAAGGAACAAUAGAAUCAUCAUCAUCAGCAAGUGGUUCUUUCACUUCCAGGAGGGGCCCUUAUAGUAAGUUGCAGAAUCUAUUCGAAUUAAGCGCUCAUCCUUCUCCGGGACAAGAAGUCCGUACUGUACUUGAAGUCUAGGCCUGUCCUACUGGUACAACUUAAGCGAAGGAAAAGUCAGGGUUCAGGGCGGAUCCCGCAAUAUCAAGGUGUUCUGUUCGAAAUCAUUGAAUUGAGUGCUCUGCUCCCUUAUGAUAGAAAGAAGUAACCAUCUCUAUAUGCUCUUUAUCGCUAACCCUACCUAGUGCUCUGCCCUCUUCACAUUCCAUUCUGAUAUUAGAUGUGGGGGCCAAGCCAAUUCACCUAUAUAAAGAUAUUAUCUCAUUUAGUAGGGGCCAAGCCUACAAAGGUUCUAUAUUGACUACUUGCUUAACAAAAGCACUUAAUCCCAUUCCUCGUUCCAUUCUUCCUUUCGUUCUGUGUUUAAGGAAAAAAAGCGAUAGGUUCUCCAGCAAGUUCUUUUUGGCAAACGGAUUCUAGGGCUAACGAUAAGUAACACUUUUCCUCCUUUCUUUGGAGGGAUAUUGCUUUGAUUCCCAUUGUAGGAAGGAGAAGUUGAUUAAUGGGUUUUUUAUUCUAUUCCCAUUGAAGCGGCAGUAGUAGCAUUCCUAAGAAAAUCAAGGGUAUAAUCCAAAUAGCCAUUGCUAAGUACGCAAGUUAUCAGCUCUUCCUGAACCGGUUCAUUGGUACCAUCAACUCGGUCUCGAUAUGCUGCUUUGACCGCAUCGGCCGCUGGUUAAGAUAAUACCUGCGAAGGAAGUAAGUGCUCACUUCUUUCUCUUCGGGCAUUGGAAGACGAAUCUACCCCAUAUACGCUGGGUUACCCGGGCCAUACUUGUUACUUGGUGUUAACUGUAGCACUAUAUGACCUUUCCGGUGAAGAACGUGUUCCAUGAACUCAAUCCCCAAUAAAUGCUGUGGCAUAAGUAAUCUAGCUACAUUCUAUUACCGGCCCCUUUGACACUUGAAUAAGUAUUAUGGGAUAACAUAAACAAGUAUGCCUCUACAAAUUGGAUGUUUGAAAGGUCACUCGAAAUAUCAUAAGAGAAGAAAAAGAAUCUUAUGCCCCAAAACACACUCCUAUUCUUUUCUUGGUUGGCCUAACCCAACCGGUCAUUUCCAACAAGUCUUUCUGCAUUUGCUUUUGGGGGGGGAGCAGAGUAGUUAUUUCAUUUUGUGAAAAUGUCGGAUCAAGCCUAGCUUAUCUAUUGAACCUGUCUACUACUAUUGUUCUUCCUGCAUCUCUUUUUAUCCUAGCUGCCUGGCGGAGUCGAGUCGCACGUCCUGUGUUGCUUUUCAGAAUGACCUGUAAUUACCCUCGUUAGGGAUUGAUAUAGAUAUACCUUCGGGUAUUUCCAUCUCCAUCAUGCUUUCACGGGGUUGGAACCAGUUAAUAUAACAAGUCAAGUAAGUGAACAAGAGCGAGUACCCCUUCCAAAUUAGGCUUUUCUCUCACAAGUUAUGGCGAAGUAUACGUAGCUUUGUAACCCUGUUAUUCUUUUCUUUUGAUACGUAUAGCCAGCCGUAGCUCACUCCAAGGGAAUAAGGCUUCUUCAUGCGCUGCCCUCGUCCGGGAGUAUGCUAAAUCCAAGUAUGAGAUAUCCAGGGAAUACUUAUAUCCUCUUUAUUCUUAUAUAUUGGGUUCACGCCCAAGCGAGUAAAAGACUCAAACUCUGUCCCGAGUAGAUCAAUUUCAAAGGAAAUUCAGUUAGCGCUCAAAACAAACCUAGAGCGUUAAACUUAAUCAAGAAAGGUGUUUCUCUAUCUAAUUCGCUAAUGAGAGUUGGGAGUCAAAGAAAAAGAGUACGAGGAUAAUUUCAGAAAGAUUCUUUGGCCUUGGAAGUGACACAGCAAAUACAGUAUUUAGGGUUUUCUAUUCAUUCUGUUUUCGUCGUCCAGCAAGUUCCAAGUUCAGUGAAUGAGUUUCCUCUGUGCAAGUUCCAUUCUGUCUUCUUUUCUAAUUGAAGUGAAGAUGACGUAAGCAUGGCUUUGUUUGCUUGUUUCUGGAACUAUGAAAUCCUCUUCUGGGCAUGUCCCAGAGACUAGUGAAAGAAGUUAUUUGCCUUUACUGAAAUCAAGGUGCUAAGAGCCCGUUAGUUGUAGUGUAUGUGGUAAUCAUAAAGUGGGGCAGUUUCCAGUCAGUCUCCGUUCGCCUAAAAGUGCAAGUGGAAAAGGGCCAGCAGUUAGACCCGAAGCGAAGGAAGGGCAUAAGCGUUUCAUUUAGGUUCAUUAAAGUACGGGAAUCCAAGGUAUUUAGCAAGAUCAGGGAAAUUCUAUCUUACAGGCAAGGUGCUAAGAGCCCAUUAGAACAAGUGGUUCAGGUUCUGUUGAGUUCGGGCGCUAAGCAAGAUAAGAUGGAUAUUCCAUUAAUACUUUCUUUCGAGUUUCAAGAUUAAUAAGUCGAACAAUAAUCAGCUGUGAAAGGAACAAUACUUCCCUUAUCGAUUGAAACUGACUUUCACCUGUUCGUUCCGAGAUACAACACUGCCUCUGUAUGACUCUGAUCCUUAUCUUGAAACAGCUUAUGCUGCUGACCUCUUCUCUGACUUUACUUGAGACAACACCACCUCUUCUUACUUACGCUUACGCGGAAAACAGGACUCAUUGUCCCGCUCUAGUUCCUUAUUAAACCAUCCAACUAGAUUCUUCAUAUUAGUAUGCAGAGUUGCGGCGGUAAGUAGACUCAAUUCUGAAAGGAAGUCGCAACCAAAGUCGCUGGUCUGGUAAAAACUCUUUAUCUGAGGCUUGUGACUUGUGCCAUGUAAUCUUUGCCCUCUAGCUCUCUAUGCUCUUUAUUUCCCCGAACCGAACCCCUUUCCUUUUGAAUUAAUCACUUUUGAGUUUAGUUAAGUUCCAGAGGUGUUACCGAUCACUACUCUACUCGCUCCGUGUUGGCUGAAGAAGACGGAUUUCUCGCCCUACCCUGCGUUAUAAACUCAGAAGUAAGCUUGAAACUCCCUCUCGCCAACUAAAGGCUCCGCUCUAACUGCUUCCCUUAUAGGCAUGUAACUAAAAUAGGCAUAUAUCACUUUUUGGAAUUUAUGGGAUUUGAUUCCACCACCCCACCAAGUAAGUAAACACCCAGUAAGUAAACCAGCCGACCCGACCUCUUAACUGGAACUGCGACUACUGAUAUUGAUACUGAUCCUUAAGAUUCUUCUCUAUCUUGGAGACUUUCCUUGAACUGUUGUAUCACCCAUGUGUUAAGCAAUGAAGGUGUAGAUGGAAGUUAUUACUUAAACUCAAAGGUAUACGAUCUAGUGAUUAGGUAAGUCAAUUAGAAUUCUAUAGUUGUAAACUCCAUUCUUCAAGGAAGGAGAACUAGGGGCGGAAAGAGAACUCGGGUGAAGCUAACACUCAACAAAGGAUUGAAUCUAUCCAGUACUUUCUCUGGCUAUACCCCUUUUUUCCUGGCUAAUUAUUAUGUUUCCGGACUUGGAGUUUAGGAAGUACAUUAGAAAUCCGACUGUUAACGGCAAGGAAACCAGUAUUCUGUCUUUUAAGGUAUUCUGACUUAAGAGCAGAGCACAGAGCACCUGGCGCUAGGUACCCUAUUCUGACUUACCUAUUUCAACUAUACUUCUCCUCUUGCUACAGCAUCAAUUCCACUAUAGGUCUCAAAAAGAGAUGCAGUGUCUUAUAUUGUCUUAUAUAUAAUAUCUCUAAAGUCAUUAUUGAAUCAGCAGUUCUUGUGGAGUCGACGAAAGAAUCAACAAUAUCAAGUCAAUCAGCAGCAAGCGCGGGAAGUAAAGGAAAAGAAAGGUUCGGAAAGGAAAGCAGUUGGUAGAAAGGCUAAAGAAAGAAGUAAUAUAGGCAAAAGUGCUAAGAAGAAUAAAUGAUGUAUACCUGGCUUUUUUGAUGCCCUAGCCCUAAGUCAAUCCGUAGUGAGAGGUUAUCCCGAGUGAAGUCUGCUUGGCCCCGAACCCACCUCUACUCUUGCUACUAAUCCAGUUAUGGCUCUUGACUACUAUACUACCCGCUAGUGCCACUUAUAUAUCUGCGAAUCUUUCAACAAGCCCUGCUGCUGUCAACUAGACCUAGACCUUAAUGAUUCUCUGUCAACUAAGUAAGUCAACCUACCCGAGCCUAGGUAAACUACCCGAUCCUCAAAGAUGGUACUUUCUUUUGACUACCCGACCCCUAGUAUAGUCAGUAAGUCUUCCCCGACUAGACCUAUAAUAAGUGCCCGAACCGAACUAACUCUAUCUGACUAGCUCACCUAUGUCUACUAAUACAGAUGAAAGUCAAACACCCGACCUCUCUACCACUACUCAUAAGAAUGAAACUAAAGCAGAGGGAGUGGAGGCAGUAUCAAGUCAGUCUUCUUCAAAAGAAAGGGACGAAGCUGGGCCAAGCUCCUACUGGCAUCAAGAUCAACCAACUACUGGCAAAGAAAUCCACUAGCUACAUAAAACGAAACUUUCUCCUUUACCUCGACCAGGAACAGGCAAUUAUCCAGUGGUAACUACCCUAACAAGCAAGUCAGUAAACAAAAGCACUGAAGCCUACCCGACCCUAGCAACUUUCAAAGAAAAGAGUAAAAGAAAGAAGGAUAAGAGUAUGACUAUUAAGUGACUUUCGAGAGUGCCAGAUCAACUGGGCUUGGUAAGAGCGGAGGUCUACUCUCAAUUCUGCAGUUCUUACUUGCUUCUUUAACUCCCGGAACUGGGUCGGCGUACUCUAUAUCCUGGGUGCUUAAGUAAAUGAGUUGGUAGACUAGACUAAGGCAAGGCGGGUUAGCUCACAGUAAACGAUGGCCUAUCGGCGGCAGCAACUAAACUGGGAAUCCAUUGGUACUAGCUCUGGCUCCAAUGAAUUUCACCCUGCUGGAAACAGAUACUGAAUUGAACUCAAAAGUAGGAGUGCCUUAUAGUAAGUUGAUUGGACUAAGUAGUCAAAGAAAUUAGGGUUUACUGCCCCAAGAGGAGAGGUAGUCCUGGUAGUAGUAGUAGUAGCUUGGCAGCCCUGAAGUUCAUGGUUCUAGUCUUCAUCCCUAGGUUUUCAUCCUAUUAGAAUGUCAUUGAAAGCGGGUUUUCUCUCUUCUGCGCAAGAAGGUAUGAUUACUUUUACUGAUUUACUUAGAGAUAGGGAUGGAUGAGCCAUAACAGUAUUAGUUUACAUAGCUAGAUGAGCAAGAUCAGAGGGAUAGUUUCAAGAGCAAGAGCGGAACGACUAUAUCUGUCCUUUGUUCGUCACCUGUUUUAAGGUGUUGAAGCUGCCUAAACCUAUCUUUCUUUCUUUGAUGGUAGAGCGGAGCCAGUAGUUAUAGGUGGAGCAGAGCCAGUACUAGAUGAUUGCCCGAACAAGACUUGGAGCUACCGCGCCUUAGAGACAUAAGCAGAUGAAACUAAAACAAGGGAUUACUUUAUCACGGAACCUGAUCCAGCGGAUGAUCUUGAAACUGCUGAUUCCCUUUCGGAUUCCCCUUUGCCAACUACUCGAACUGCUCUGGCUCUGUAAACUGUAGUAGCUUGGCUUCUAGUUGUGAGUGUGAGUUUAAGACCGGUCCCUUAGUUACAGGAGAACAUUAGUAUAUAUACCUCAGAGUUAAAGACCAGAGAACAUAUGAGCUAGUAUUGUUAUCAAAGAAGAGGACCACCCCUACUCUUUGAGUUUACCCCGAAACAGACUAUAAGGGCUCUUCUACUGGCGCCACAGCCUCAGAUAUUGCUUCCCCAACUGAUGAUCUCGUUGCCAAUGCUCAAUCCUAGGAUUCCGUGUAUGCUCACUCUGUUAAGAAGACCGCUAUGUAGUUAAGGGAUGCAGAGAAGAAGACCGGAUGGGUAGUAUUAGGGUCGUGAGCAGGCUUAUACUUACUCGUUUCAUUCUUUGACUCCUUAGCUACAUUGCUUCCAAGACUAUUUCAUAAGCUACUAAUAGGCAAGCAAGUCAGUAUUAACUCCUUAGAGCUUCAGUAAGAAUAUAUCCCCUUAGCAACAUUGCUUCCAAGCCAAGCCCCAGGGCCAGGGAAGAAGUAGGCCAAGUAGUGACCAAGUAAAAGAGGUAGGUUUGGAAAUGAAGCAAGUCAGAAUGAAGGUAUUGUUGCCAUAGGUAUAGAUAGAAGCCUGAGUUCAAAGAGAUGGCACUGGCCGGCUUUGGGCAGCAAGCUGUUCUUAAAGUGCAGAGUCAGGAGUGAGUUGAGUUCGGAUAGCCCAGGAGUGGUUAGUUGACAGAGGUAUCGAAGCCAGAGAGGAAGAGAGAAAGAGCUCUACUAAUUGUCUAGGUUCGUAGCUAGGGUUGGUUAAGAGAGGAGCCUAGCCUAAUUCAGUUUAUAGUUCUGAACUCAGUUAAUUGUUUUAAGCGGUUUAUUGCUCUAGUACUAGUGGUUGUUUGUCGACUUGGCAGUUAGCAAAUAGAUACUCAAGUUUCUUUCCUUCACUAGGGGAGAGGUGUGGAACAUUCCAAUACUCUGGCAGGGGUGGUUCACUUAACUCUUUUACAAUUGAUAAACACAGAUGAUAAAACGAAUGUCAUUUCCACUAUGAAACUCUACAAACACAGUGAAGCAAGAAAGGUAUUGAUUGAGUCAGCUACCAAAGAAUAGUAUUGGAUCCGUAGAGCAAGAGGCAGCAUUAAGUUUAAGGUCGAGGAAGAAACAAGUCCUGUCUUCGUAGAUGUCUUCGUUGCGGUAAGCAAGUAUCGUUUUUCAACCUGUUGUAGUUUCUCAAGAGAAGUCAAGUCUCUUGUUCCAGGGGCAAGUGUCAGAGUUCCAGCAGAAGAUAGAUAUGAAGAAGGAAGGAUUCUAAUAAGCAAGAUCGUGGGAUCUGAAGAAGGAAAGUAGACGAUAGAAUCAUAAGUCCCAAAGGAAGCUGUUAGAGCAGUAGCAUAAGAAGGAACAGAGGCUCACGCGGAAGCCGGAAAGGAAUUAGGAUAAGCAUCAGUGACUGGUGCGCUAACUGGAGCAAGUAAGCACUUUUCAACAAGUAAGGAGUCAGCAUCAGCAGUUUACGCGGAUAGAGCAUUAAAGUCAGCAUAUAGAGCUUUAUAGUCAGCAGGAAGUAGGGAGUCAGCUGUAAGCAAGUUAUUGAAUCUUAAGUUCUACGAGUUUGCAGGGAGAGACAUCUCUGAUAUGUGAUGUGUGUCACGCUAGAUUCCAUUUCAUUAAGUUUAGUUAAGCGAGUAAGCACAAGUAGGGGCGGGAAUAGUUUCUCUAGUUUUUUGACCUUAGUGAGAGUUCUUUGAGUCAGGAGCUAGAUUCCUAAUUUCCAUGGAGUAAAAUACAUUAUUGGAAUUCAUUGUUUACGGCUUUCAUUCUUUGUUACGAGUUAGAAGCCCCAGUAUGAGUAGCUUGUGUUCCCCCAUAGAAAUCAUUGAAUUGACAACCACUGAUAGAAAAGUAACUAUACACCCAUUCUGGAUUCUUCUGCACUAAAGGAAGCAGCAAGAGAUUAUUCAAGCUUCGUCUUAAAGUCGAGAAUCCGCUGCUUUAAAAGAAAAAGAAGAAGAUAAGGGAACAGAAAAGUAGACAAGUCCCUUAUUCGUCAACGGUAGCAAUAAAGAAGUAGGUCCUCAUUAAUAGCGUCAGCGAAUUUGAGCUAAACAAACAAAGAAAUGGAUAAUUACUAACGUUAUGAACAAGCUCAGUAGAAUGUUACGUGUUAGCGAGAUACGAGUUGGUACGGCCAAGUAGUCACUAUUCAUGUUACGCGGCAGGGCUGCUCCUGUUAUGAGUAAGUCCUAAUUCCAUAUGUUUUCGUUCCUUUGUUCGUGUUACGCGGCAGUGAGUUUAGGCGGCGAAAGACGUUGGGCGGUAGCCAAUAAACAGUUCUUACGAAGUUAUUACAAUAUAUGCCUUCGGCGGCAGGAGCUCUUUCAACUUUCUCUUCUGCUACUCGGGGCUUUAAGGCUGUUACUUCAUAGUGGAAUUCUGAUCUUUCUAACUGGAACAGGGGCAGCUGACUGAACUCGAGUCACCAAAACACGGGUUUUUGAAUAGCAACGGGGCCAAGUAACUGCGCUAGUUCUACUGCCCUUGACUCAGUACACACACAUUGGUAGCAAUAACUGGAAAGUCGACAAACAGAUUCAAUGAAACUAACUCAUAACUCCUCACUCAGUAGUAAAAGAAAUCCACUAACUCAUAACUCCUCACUCAGUAGUAAAAGAAAUCCACUACUACAUAAAGAGCUAUAAUAAGAGAAAUAAUUAAUCAAGUCCACCAAGCUUAGUAUACAAAAGCAUAGAGCCAAGCUUAGGCCAAGCAACGUAGACUCCAGGAGUAGUUGUGCGAUCUGGACCACUACAUUAAGGGUUUUUGUAGUAUACGCUUGGCCCUGAUUAUUCCAUUUUGACAUAUUGAAGUGAAGAUCACGCAUCGUUAAUACUAGAAUUGGAAGACAAAGAGUAAUCAAUCUCAUGUUGUUCUACUUUCUAGAGCGUUUAGAAGUGGUUGCUUCUACUACUAAGAUUGUCACACAGUUGACUUUCAUAACUUCUCACGAUUCGAUGGUAUUAUGAUUAUGAAAUAUGUUGUUUAUUAUGGUGCCAUCCAACCUCUUAUCCAGGAACAAUAAUGAGUGUGAGUUCAAAGUGUAUCGGGGAAAUCAAGGGGUCUUUCGUCUAAGAGAUUCAAUAACUCUGCUCCCUAAGAAUCUCUUUGUAUUGGCAAAGACUUAUUUAUUGUCCUCAAUGUGGUUAUAAAGGCUCCAUCGACCAUAAUCAAGUGAAAGGUGGAGAAUCUGAAUAAGCGCUUCCAGCACUUGUAUUAUAUGAAACAGGAUAUUCGUCUCUUAGGUGGUGUUAUGCUGAAGGCUCAAUAGAUGGAUUUUUCUCAGUACAAAGUGUAUAUCUAGGAUUGCAUGACAUUGUCCGCGCUAGCUAUGCGCAUUUCUCGUAUGAACUAUUCCGAUCCUCUUAGUUUUCCUAUAUUUGAACGAAGAUACAUUCAUUCGUCUUGGGUACUAUGGAGGCCAUGCUGAUGUGUAUAUCCCACAUGGAAAGACUUGAUAUAGAUUCUAUUAUAUUUUGACGUGAACUCCCUAUAUCCAUUUGUCAUGCAAACCCGUUCUAUGCCGGGCGCCUAAAUGGCAUGGUAACAACUUGGAAGACCAUAAAUUGUCCGACUUAUUUGGAUUUAUUGAGGCAUAUGUAGUCUGUCCGAAUACUAUCAAGAAGCCCUUUUCGAGAGAAGAACACUCUAAUCUUUCCAACCGGGGAAUUAGUUGGUGUUUAUUUCAGUGAAGAGUUUCAGUAUGCACGUAACUUGGGUGAAAAGAUUAUACCACGGCUGGCGUUUGAGGAAAAGCGACGUCCUUUCUUUUGUUUGAGCACCCGAAACAAGAACACCUAGAGCUACCUGGCAAACGAAACUUCCCUUUAAGGACCCAACAAAGACAGAUUCAACCAGAGGCGGGACCACUACUUGUAAACUUAAGAUCAAACAAGGGAUAUGAAACCAGGCUGAGGAGCCGAACACAGGACUUGGCAAUUGAUGGCUCGUAGUGGAAUCAGUGAGAAUCAGUAUCAUAUUAAUACUACUACUUAAGACUACUACUAUUCAUAUCAAUACUUAUCAUAUCAAUGCAGAGGUGAUACUAGGAAAACAGGGAUUCUACUGGGUAUGGCGCCUAUGGAGAGCCUGUCCUGAAAGAUGGGUUCAGAAACCUAAAUCCAAGUAGCGGUCCAAGUACUCAAUUGAAGUCUACACUUCCCCAACUAGUAGUAGCCCUGAACAACCAUAAAGAUGUUAGGAAUAAAUGCACUAUAGGAGCUUACAGGAUAAAAGAGAGUCGAUUGGGCUUCUUCUUUAUUGGAGAAAAGUCAAGCAAGCACUACUGAGUCAAGCACAACAGCAACUACCAACAGCAACUACAUACUUUUGACUGCCCGGAAAGACUUUUACUAAGAGUCUGGGCCUGAGCGUAACCUAUUGAUAAAGGAGGAGUUCUCGUGCAUCCCGUAUUUUGCAGUUACAAGAUCUGGUGAAGAAAGUGGAACAAGCUUAUCUAUAAGGGCUAGAUACUUUGACCUAGAGCAUAACUGAGGAGAAUUGAGUUUAUCCUUGCCUAGACUAUAUAUUGAUGAAACCAAAAGGAUAGGUAGCUUAAAGAGUCCGUCUACUUUUAAGGAGCAAGACUCCGGUUGUGGUAAUGCGAGUUCGGGUGCUCGUCCAGUAAGGGAAUGCUCAACUGCUUCAAUAAGGUAGAAAGAUGUUGGUGCAAGUCAGAGGUAAGCUUUUGAAUGUCCUGUCCCUGUUCGAGUUGAGUUAUAGUCUUCAUCCCUCGCUUAAUCCGAGUCUCCAAGAGAAGUAUCCAGAAGUAUGGUUUCUGGGCUUUCCUGAGUCGGGUGCUUGUGUUAAGAAAGUAGUCAAUCUAUCUCCUUUGCCGGCUUGCCUGAUAGCCAAUAGUAGCCGGACCGGAUUGACUUGCCUCGUAGCUUGGCCCGUUAGAACUAGAGCACAAGAACGUAACUUUGUGCAUCCUCACAAGAACGUAACUUUGUGCAUCCUAAUAAUAAGAAGAAAGUGUUGCAUUUUGGCAGCGGAUACUGGAGGAGAAAUUCCAGCAUGAAAGAGACCAACCUCACCUGUGGAAUCCAAAAAGUAAGUAUAUUUACAAAUCUCUAAGAGAGAAGAGCAAUGAAAGAAGAGACCCGAACAGAGACAUAGACUCGGUGUAUACUCUCGCAUCGAAGAGCAUCGUUCAUUUUGUAAGAGAAUAGUGUGACGGCUUAUCUAGCUUAUCUAGACUCAAAAAGCCACGAAUGAAUCAUUUGCUAAGAUACUAGCUCCAACACUGGAUUUCUUUUGUCGAGAUGGGUUUGGUGUUCUUCGAACAUUUGUAACCCUAGAAGCUAUUGGUUACCAAGUAAGCUCAAGAAGCGAAGCUGGUCUUCCUGGUAGAUUAUAUAAGGACAUCUCAUGUUCAUGCCAGUGCGCUUUUCGUUCUUUCAAUCCCUUCUUUUCUCGAGUCUUUAGCCGCAUUUAGUAAAUAUAAGUAGGUGUGUUUCAGAAGCUAGUGUUUGAGUAUGACUUUUUGGGGAUUAAUCUUUGAGAUAUAUGCCUAUUUCUUUUAUGACCGUGAGUGAAAGCCUAUUAGUAUUAGAGAAGGGGGGAAGUAGGUGAUCAUCAACAAGUGUUUGACUAUGCCAUUCGUCAUACGACGCGUACAUCUCCGAUCAGAGAGUUUCUUAAUCGUCUGGUUAUUUCCAUGGAAAAGCGAAAAUCCUAUAUUAUUAUUAGAUUCUUAUUAUAUGGAAGUAGGUCCUAUUAUUAUAUAGAAGUAGGUCCUCGACCCAGGGUAAUUCAUCAAUCAGAUGGAUGCGCUUAUAGGGCUCUUAGCACCUUACUUUGAUUCCUGUCAACCCUUCGCUAGUAGGACUAUCAGAUAGAAUGGCUAGUCGGUAAACCCUUGACUGCCAAUCUCAUUAGAGGUUAUAAGCUAGCAUCAAAAAAGGGUGGGGUGGUAGUAGACCAGGUGAGUGUUAGCGCUUUACUAAUCCAAAAUAGGGAGUAGACCCGUUUCUUUCUAGAAUGACUCUUCCGGAGUAAAGCUUGAACGUGGCCUGUUAGUCCAAAAGGAAAUGACAUAUCGGAUCGUAGCCAGGAGGUGCCUCAAAUCAGCGAGAUGAAAAACUAGGGCAAAGGGAGAGGGUUCCACAUAAACAAAGAAAAGUAUGGCAGCAGUCGAAUCUUUAGCUAGUCCCAUUCCUUUUAUCUGCGAAGGAAUGAAAGGAUUGGAAGGUAAUAAAGACGGAUAUUGCAAAUAUGGAAUUUUCGGAAAGGAACGGAGCAUAUAUAGUGGCUCGACGCGGCGGUGUACACGUGUCUCCUAUAGCAUGCAGCCCAUAAUGAAGAGACAGAUCUCGAGAAAGGUGUGCUGCGAGAGUAUAGGUAGCCAGUCUUUACUUAAGUAGGCCCAAGCAAUGCCCAAAGACUCCCAUUUCCUUAUUGGCCGACCCUUUUCCCUAUAAGGUUCCUAGCCCAAGGCGAUUUCCGACAAGUAGUUGGUCAGCAGAGAAAGUAGAGGUCGGGCGCUAAGCAAGACAAGAUAGAGAUUCCAUUAAUGAUUCAGCAGCAUAAGAUUAAUUGGAAUUAAUGAUUCAGCAGCAUAAGAUUAAUUAGAGUUAGUCGUUAAGCUCAUUGAUUUAGUAUAUAUAGGUAUGUGGAGAGAUAGAUUGUAGUAGGUCCUAAGGUAAUAAGAAAUAGGAUGAAGUAUAAGUAAGUGGAGAGAUAGAUUGAAGUAGGUACAAAGGUAAUAAGAAAUAGAUGAAGCGGGUAAUCAGAAAGGGGAGAGUAAGGAGCAGAUUCCGCAGUGGAAGCAGUUCUUGACUUGCGAAUAACUCGCCGCUGGAACUCGGCUCCCAAAAACGGGACUUGGCGUCAGUGAGCUCUUUACCUACAAAGACAAAGAUAGAAAGAAAAUAACUUAGUCCGUUUCUUCUCCCUUCUUCGCUCUUAAUACACACCUCUGGGCAGGAAAUAUCACUCGUACACUAACUUGCUUGUUUAAUUGAAUGAAAUCCAAAUGGAAUAUAUGAAAUACAAUAGAAAAGAGUAAAGAACACCGCUUACUAUAAUAUCAUGGUAGUGCGCACACCUAUAAUCUCAUCUAUGAACUAACCAUCAUGAAGGAAGCUCACUCCUAAUCAUAUGAAACACCAUCAGAAAGCUCACUCCUAAUCAUAUAUAGUAUGGAACUUGCUGUAUCUUAAAGCUCACUCCUAAUCAUAUAUAGUGAAGUAUGGAACUCGCACACGUAGAACUCACUUUAGCUCGACGACGAACGCCAAACACCAGGUAUCAAAGAAAUUCAUUGAGUUAGAUAAGAGUCCAGGGCUAGUUCCAGUGGAAUUCUUAUCCGUAUUUGUAACAAGAGGAGAGGAAGCUAGAAGUACUAUUGAUCCCAGGACUUGAUUCUGCCCCUAAUCAAAGUAAGGCAAUUGGUUACGUGUGAUAAUGUUGUUCCAGACCAGAGGUGUUCGUGUUUAAGUUCCAGAGGUGUGUGUCUUAAUGAGUUCCCUAGCUCUCGGGGCGCUUUAUAAGGCUUCUUUUCAAGUCAAAGACAAUCUCUUUCGAGUCGUUUCACCUAUGCCUAUGCCUCUCCUCUGUUCCACUCAUAUUAUAGUGAAUGCGUGCUUCAAAGCAAAAGCCAGUUCUUAAUUGGAUUCUUUUCUUAACCCUUACUUGACUCUUGAUACUUUACCGACCGACCCAGAGCUACUAGAUACGAUUAACCUCGAACAUAACUUACAUAACCAUUUACUGUUGACUUGUUCCGCAUAUGAUAGAAUUGAUGAAAGGGUCAAGGAGCGGAAAGUGUGCUUCAAAACUCACUAAAGCACCCCGAACUAUAGAAUAUGUAUUGUAACUCAAUAAACAAAUAAGUAUCAUAUUGAUUUCAGGAUUAUAUAACUUUACUGAACUUUGUUUGCCCAAGAGCUGGCACUAAGAGUUGAGUUGGCAAAAGACCUUGUUUGUAUAUACUGGUUCUAUAGUAGCAGCGUCGGGGCGCUAACACUUCUGGUUGUUGGCCACUAAGCGGUAAGCAUAUUCCUUCAGCCUUCUUGGGGUAGAUAACAAUAAGUUGGAUAAGAGUAGGAAUUAGGGUAAGAGUAAUAAUUUCAUAAGAACAGGAGAGGCGAUAUAGAAUUUCUUAAUCAAACACAGAAUACAGUCAAAUAAUCAUUAAAGAACAUAGUUAUCAAUAAGAGAGAGAGGUUUCUUCUGUUCGAGUAGAGAGAAUCAUCUGUUUAAACAGAAUAAGUAGAAACAAGAUCAUAAGAUAGAUCUGGAUCUGGAUCCGUGAAAAAAGAAGCUGUUAGAAUAGAAAUAGGUAAUCGAAUUGCUUCUAUAGUUAGAGAAGAGCCAAGCCAGAGUGAAAAGAGCCAGAGUAAGAUGUCCGCAGUGCCAGAUUACAGUCGAAUUCCAGUAUGAGUGGAAUCUUAGUUAGUUGCCUUGGCGCUAACCCAUCUUUUCUAGAAUAAUAUGGAUAAGAAUAAGUUGAAAGAUAUGAAGCGGGAAGGUAAACUUCCUCUUAUGUGGAAUCUAUCAUUUCACCUAUGCUACUUGGCCUUUGAAUGAAUUGGAGCCUAAGAACAUAGCCCUGAGCUGAGAGUAAAGUGUCUUACGUUGUUCACUACCCUUAAUUUCAACAAGCCUAGGAAGAACAAGAAGAAAACGAGUAUUAGGCUGCUUUCUUAGGUAGAGCAGAGCCAGUACUAUCCUCUUCCGCUAUAACUCCACUUGCAGAAUAGUUUGCAUCUGCUUGAGCCUCUGAUUCUUAGUACGAUUCCACUCGAGCAGAACAAGCUUCAACUUAAGGCCCAGUACUUGAUUAGAUGAUGAUUCUCCAGAUUCCCGGCUCUUCAAUAGGGACAGAUGAUUCUAUUGGUUGAAGACUGGCUCUUUGACUUCUUCUAGCAAUUAAAUAUCUCUCUGACUCAUUACCCUAUUAUAGUAGAUCUCGAUUCACUCUGGGUACCUCAUAACUAUGUUUUUCGCGGCAGGAGCUCUCACUUGUUGCUAUCGAAAAUCCCGUGUUUUGGUGAAGUGGAAUGAUCUGGUUCACUUACUUGCUUGUGUGGGUGGUAAACUGACUUGAUUGUGUGGGUUUGGGUAGUUCCAGUUACUUACUUGCUUGUGUGGGUAGUUCCAGUGACUUACUUGCUUGUUCAACAAAGAAUGAAUCUAUUUCUAUUUCCACUCCCGGUGAGUUAGGUCUACUCGAUCAGAGGAAAGAGAAGAGGAGAGAUCAGAGGCGUGAAUAAUUUGAUAAGAAAUGCAAAUAAACCAGAAGACUACUCGCAUUUUUGACUACCUUUUCAGUAGACGUUAGGAAGGGUUUAAACAUAGAUUGUAAUAACUUCUACAUAACUGGGAACUAUAGCAGCCCUGCCGCGCAACAUUAGUAGUUGCUUGGCCUAUGUUUUUGUAGCAGUGUCUUGUCUAGUAGUUACUUGCCUAGUUGCUUGUUGGCUAUUCAGGUAGAAAACUACAGACAUAAGUAUAAGGCCCAGUACCCGAAGACAGGUGUAAUCCAAACAACCGGUUAUUCCCCACCCGAUCUAGAGUAGACCCGCUUGACGAUGCAACAAGAACAGGCCAAUCAACUGAGUCCGCUUGAGUGUCAUUAUUAUUAAUAGUGGUUUCAUUCUUUGACUCUGGUGUGGAUGUCAAUUCCUAUGGGUGUCAAUUCCUAUAAUUCAUAUAUAAUAAUCAAAGUGAUCUCGAACACUUUCCUCGCACUGCUAAUUCUGUAGUAUAAGUGAACUUUCCUAGCCUCGCCCCCCUAAAAGUAGUAGUCUCGAAUUUCUCACUGUUUCCAGCACCAACUAGUAGUUUGUUUCCAGCCCAAACUAGUAGAAAUGCCCCAACAAGUAGUGGUCCAGAGUGUUCAUCCCGGUAGUCCAGUAAGCUCACUGCAGGCUCUGCUCUUUCUUGUUCUAGUGGAAUCCCCUGUUAGUAAGAUAAGUCCUGUCAGCACUAGUUUCAUCCUUAUUUAUAUCAUAUAAUACCAGAGUUUCAUCCUAUAACUCAGAGAAGGUAGUAAAGCCUAUAACUAGAUUAGUGAAAUACCGGGUAAGUCAACUAUGGUAAGUAAACGCAGCUACUCCUAUAGUAAUUAGUCUGGAAAGUAGGAAUUAAAGAGCCAAGCUAACCGACGUCCUGUGACUUAUAUAUCUACCGGUAGUGCGUUGCAUAUUCAUUCCUUAAUGAGGGAAGGGCGACUAAGUGCAUUAGCGGAGUCGGUCGUUAAUAAGUCUGCUCCUGAGUUCAAAGAGAUGGAGUAUUGAUUGGCAAGAGGCUAAAUUGAGACUCCGGAAUAACCCGGGCACAGCUCCUGGCACUGCUACUGAUCUCGUUGAUGCAGCAGUUAUUCUUUAGAAAGAGAAUAUCUAAUUUAGUAAGGUUUCUUAUAAGGGUGAAGGGCAGGUCUAGCAGUAGAAAGGAUUCAAUGUUAACUACUUGGUAAGGGAUAUCCGAACAAAACUCUUAACUGACCGCUUCCCUUGAUUCUUCUCCGUAUACGUGUUGGGGCAGGGCAUUUCACUGUACUGGUUAAGGCUCACUGACGCUCAAACACAGGUUCACUCAGGACAGGCAGGGUCGGUGAGUAACCUAGUAGAUCUAGCAUGCCUAGCUCAUUCAACAAAAAGGACUCUCAUCUCACUCUGGUAAUGGAAACUAAUACAGAAUUCCACUCCAGGGUACGGUUACUACAUAUCGUUUUGGUGACUUCCCGCGCCUACCUCCUGAACAGCUUCUCUUUCUGGCAUUAAUGAAGGGCUCAGUUAGUGGUUUCAUUCUUUGACUGAUUAGUUGCAUCCUUGCUCUCUUUGUAAAGAGCUCAUUCUUUUACUUGUUGGCGAGCUACCUGACGCGCAACCAGUAAUUAAGGGAUUUUCUUAUUUAUUCUAGAUUUGAUUAUAUUAUUAUUAUUGAGUAGUGCCUACUGCUUGUAUGUGCUAUAGAGUACCCGGAGUGCAAGAGAGAAAAUGCAUUCUUAACAAACAGGAGUGGUUAUUUGACAAACAGGAGUGGUUUGGAACUUUCACUUACGGACUUUCGAGCUGAACCCAAUGAUGAAGUAGCACCCGAAACAAUACUUGAGCUAACAAUAAAGCACUUGGCGGCACCGAACUCCUGUACUACAUAAAGAGCUAUAGGAGCCUGCAGACUUCACUCCUUCUUGCUUAGUUAAAGAAUUCUCCUGUAUUUCUGAUUUCUGUUCCUGCUCGGGAAAGCACCCUUCUGGAUUUCUUUCUUGAUUUCUUGCUUUGUCUACUUUCCUGCUUGGCCUGAACUAACUUUACUGAACAAACUGAAUAGAAGGUAGCGCUCCACAUUUAGAAUAAAGAAGAAAAACACUCCUGACAUAUUACUUUAUGAACACAAGCUACAGAACCAAAAUGACUUUAUGAAACACAAGCUACAGAACAAAACAAACUAGGGCGAAAGCAAGUAUAGAAGGGAUAAAGCUAUCUCAACGGCACGCAACUCCCGUUUUCUAGAGUGGAGCAGAGCUUCUUUCUACUGUUCUUUGGGACGGACUCAACUGAUGUAGUUUCUCAUUCCAUUCUGUCGAACUCCAAUAAGGGAGAUUAGGUACAAAACUCCUACUCACUAUCCCCGCUCCGCUGCCCAUCUUAUUCUUUCGCUAAGGCAGCAAGUCCUUUAUUUUAUGGAUUUUCAAUAAUAAAGAGAGAUUAUUUCUCAUUUGAUCUUUUGAUCGCUGAAGCCACAAAUCAUUCAACACCCUCCCUUCCCGCGCUUGCUGCUUCCUGACUUGAUCUCGCUUCUUCUCUCGGCACAGCUUCUUAUACUUAUCCGGCUGCUUAUGCUAUUACUUUUGAUUCUGCUUAGACAACUUAUUCUCUUGUAGACAGAAUUCGAACAGAAAUAUACUAUAAGGAUCUAUACUCCUAACCAGUACUAUAUGAUUUGAUUCCCAAUACAGCUACGUCAGUACGUUAUUCUUACCUUAAUAGAACAACAACUCCAUUAGCUACAGUCAAAUCACAGAAUUCAAAUACCCCAGCUUCUUCCCUUUUACUGCUUGAGCAACUAAGUAGUAAGUAGAGUAGAGCCAGGCUGUCAACUAAACUCCUACAGCGCAGAAAGAAAUGGACACUUUGGAACUUCUAUUAGUGCCGAGCCAACAAAUCAUUAUGAAACUUUACCUUACUGCUUCCUUAAAUGGGUAGGCGCAUCCCGCCAUUUCCGACCAAAACUGGAAUUGCUGCUUCCUAUCUAACUGCUUAUAAAACGGAUGAAACUAUUGAUUCGACUAGAACAGAACCUAGACAACAACACUAAAACAUAGCACCUCCACUAAGAAACGGUCCAAGGAAUGCAGCCUAGAAGAUUACUUGUUUCAAGUCCGGCAAGUUACUACUCAUGUUAUGCGUUUAGUGGCUCUUAAACAACUAAGGUAAAUAACCUAUCUUUUCUCUUAGCACCAACCGAUAAUUAAAUAAAGGUAAAGCACCAAUUCUUUCUUUAAUGGAAAUAGGAUUAUCGUCGCCAACGCAAGGAAUUGUACCUCACUUUAGCACUCAACUUGCGCCUUAAAACAAUUGACUACUUCUUCUUGAUACAAUGACUUUCGCACAGCCCAUGAUCCUGCUUAUAAUCCUUAUCCUAUCUCUUAUCUGGUUUUGUUCCUACUGAAAAUAGAUCCAUCUCUUGCUUCCCUGACUGCUGUUUAAAUACAUUUGGAUUAAUAAAAAACAUAACCCCGAGGAGAGUAAUACCGAUCUUAUUUGUUAACUCUCUAAUAAACAAGUGAAAAUAGCUCGUUAACGCGCAUAUCAAAGUAGCUUCACUGACCCAUACUUUAUUCCUCUUGCCCGACCUCGCAUUAGCCGAUCAAACAGGAAUGAAAUUAGCGUAGGGUCCCACCAGGAAAAGAUUGAAGUCUAUCAGAUCGGGGGGAUAGCAGCCAAAAAACAGUUAUUACGAAGUAUGGAACCCUUAUUAUAAUCCCUAACAAUUGAACUCGAUAUAGGGAUUCACACCAAGCGGGUAAGAUGCCAGCCUACACUACAAUAUCCAUAGAGCUAGUAAAAGCCUGAAACUAUUGCCUGACAUUCUUGACUUGUUAGUUAGAGCCUAAUUCACUGACAUACAGAAGUCAACUAGUGCUAUAAGGGCCUCGGUCCCUAGGACAAAGGAUCGAACUCGUAAAGCAAAUACUCACUAGAGAGCUGAAACCCACAUAGCGGCAUCCUUUCUCCUAUAGCUCCAACCAAACUAGCACUCCUGACUGGCAUUAGAACUUGAUAGCUGACUUCUCGUACUACCGAUUUCAAUCCUUACUUUGCUGACCUUAACUCUGACUUCCCUACCCAUCCUUCCUUUGAGUCGGAUUCCACCAAUCCGCUACUACUGAUGGGAACUAAACUCGGAACAGGGAAUGAAAACACUGAUACCAGGACAACCACUAUUAGAUACUAGGAUCGAACUAAGUAAACCGAGCCAUACUACUCGAAUAACACAGGCCAAGCAACGCCCUAUUCUAUGUCCCACAAGCCUUGAUUUCCCUAAGCCCAAUUCCAAUAGUGACCAGUUCUAUUCUCAUACGCCCCAGCAAAAUCCUACUAUAGCUAUAGGGGGCUUGAGUCUUGCUAGCAGUGGUUCUAUUCUAAUAGUAGUGUAAACAAUAGUAUAUGCCCGGGGGAAGAGAGCAGACUCACACUCACUAUAGAAUGAAAGUAUGGCCAGUAAGACUAAUGCAGUAGGAGCAAAGCAAGGUUCGGUCUCAGAAUGAUAGUUUACUUAUAGGUCUAUGACUAUGAAUGAUAAAUGAUAGUUUACUUAUAGGUCUAUGAAUGAUAGUUUCAAUAUGUAAUCCAACUCUUACUGAUAAAACAACAACUUCAUAAUACAAAUAAAGACUUGAACUGACCCACCACUAGCAGGCUCACUUCCUUUCUUUAAACACUCACAUUGGAUCCUUACUCGCUUGGAACAGGCUUGCUAUUACUUGAAAGAAUUCUCCCGAUACCCGUUUCAAGUCUACCCUUGCUUGCUUUUGAGUUGAAGCCCGUGUCUCGUUAGUCGCAUUCCUUAUCGCCCCCUUGAUCCUGUGACUACUCAGUGGAAUGAGGAAUUCCACCUUUUUUCUAAUACGAUUAGCUAUCAAACCCAGAAGUUAUAUUAUAGUGACAUUUGCCUUAUUGGUAAAGCCAUAAUGAAACAAGGCAGUAACUGGCACGAGACACCUUUCUUGACUUUAGAGCCUAGGACCGACACUCCCACCUUAUAUUCCUUAGUGAAAAGUUAGAGCCUUAUACUGGCCCCUUCCAUUCCUAUUCCAUUAUUGAAGUAUUAUGCCACUGCUCUCAAUCCUAUAGUUAGAGCUUGAGUACGCCCCACUUCCGUCUCUAACUCAGCUAAUCCUAAAACACUAAUCGCUGUUAAUGAACAUGAAACUAAUGGCAAACAGGCUAGAACACCGCCUAACGAAUAAAGCGUGAGAUUGAAAACACCGAUCCGGGUCCUUGUAAAGCGAGGUUGGUUCUUAUUGAUAUGAUGGUAGUAGCAGUCCUGUCAGCAUUGAUUGAAUCUGUAUUUGUUAGUUCCAUUCCAUUACUCAUUGGGGGAAUUCCUUGUUUCCUGAUAUCAAUAUGAGAAGUCAGGAUUUCAUGCCGUAGCAAUAUGAGAAGUCGUGGUUUCACUCUAGGGCCGGCAGCUUAGUUCAAUUAACUAACGAGUCAGGUUUGAGGGCUGUAGGCAGAUCUACCUAGCAGUUGCAUUGGUAGCCCUGUUUAUAUUCUUUUUCUUACUGGUGUCAAUCCUUUUUCUACUAAUACAGAUGUGAGAUCAGGAGCGAAAGACUAGAUUCUUUACUUUAUUAUACAAAUCCGUAUUUAUAGCAUGAAAACACGCAAUGGGAGCCUAAACCCAAGCAAAGGCAUUUAGGUGUUCAAGAAAGCAGGGGCAUUUAGGUGUUCAAGAAAGCAGGAACCCGGCAAUAAAGAAUAUAGAAAUCCAACUCGAAACUAUGGUUACCAAGACCUUAACUCAAAACCGGGAAUCUAGACUAAAAUAAGGAAUGGAACUGCGAGAAAAGAAGGCAGCCUUGUUAAGCGGUGGAUCAAGCCCUAUUUCCUAGUCAGAAAAGGUUGAGUUGUAUUGGUUUCAUAGUUGUAUGUAUUGGUUCCAUUCUGUGGAGUCGCGCCAGUACUCUUAGAACCACAGUAGAUAGAUUAUGUUUGUCAGUACUGUUUGCCUUUAGUGCCACUCUUGUAGUAGUUAGCAGCAUUCCAGGUUUCGAGCGCUAGUAGGCUUUACAGCACCUCCUUAUUUCUAGUAUUGGUCUUGCCCGUACCAAUUGUAUUCCUUAUUCCAAGCAUUGUGUUCUUGUUAUCAUUAGUUGGAUUCCCUGUAAGUAAGGUCAUUAUUUUUAGCACUAGUUGGAGUUAAAGUCAGUAAAGCCAGGAUCAUGCCCCCAUUACAGUAGGAAAGAAUCCAAAUCCUUAGUGAAAGUCUUUUUUCUUGUGUAAAUGCCUUAAGGUUAUGCCCGAUAUCCUGCAUUAUGUGUUUUAGCUUGAUUAGGCACUAGUUCAUUCCUGUUAUCGGUAGGCUUUCAGCACCUGGUUUGGAGGUUGGUCCCCUGGCUUGAGUGGAAUUACUAGUUGUUCGCUCUAUUCUUAUCAGGUAGUAAGUAAAGUCUGUAACAAGGUAUAAGACCUUCUGGCUAGGAGAGCUAGACUGAAUAGGGCGUAUUGGAGAGUGAAAGAAGCAAGUAAGGGUCCGAUAGUUGUAUAAGAGAAAGGAAAAGUAGACUGGUUGUUGAGCUGAUAUCCCAGAGUUAGAUGCCCGGUUUUGAUUCUUGUUAGGAGUAGUUGUUGUCUUGGUUCUGAGAGGACAGUUUUCAGUUCCAUUCCUGUUAGCAGUGAUAUCAGUCCUGUUCGCCCGGGUGCGAUUCCUUAUGCGAAUAAAAAGGAUGAGCCAGAGUCGAGGUAUCCCUCAUUCAGUUAAUAGUUGCCAUAGGUAAUAGGUAGCUAAGUCCAUAAUUCUUAGUGUUAAGUGUCGUUCUUGUUUUCUCAUAUAUAGAAGUGCGUCGGUAAAGGAAAGAUUCCGCUGGGUAAAGUCAAGUUUCAAAAGGAAGCAGCAAGCGAAGUGCUAACGUCCAAUUUCUUUGAGUUGACUCUGCUGCCCUACCCUAAGCUCGCUCAUAAGUAUUGACUUUUUCUGUUUGACUUCGAGAUGGCGAUACUAAGCAAUCUUCUUCGCUCGAAAGUCCAGUGUAAGGGAGUUUACCUGUAGAAUGGAAUUGUGGAAAUGAAUGUUCGACUUCAGACAGCGUGGUUAAUGCUUGAUAUUGAGAACAAGCAAUGUGCACUAGAUUCAUAAGAGUAUUUAUAGUAUAGACCCAUGUAGCGGUAAUAAUAAUAAUAACUUAUAUGCUAUGCGAAAGAGAGAAAUUGGAAAUCAAAUAAAAGAAGCAGAACUCGAUAACGGGAGGUCCAAAGAUGCAAUUCAUUCUGCAUUCUGGUCCAGUGUCCCAACAAGAUGUUGUGGCGCCGGUGAGCAGCUUUCUGACAUUCCUACUUUAUUAGCGGGUGAGAGAGAAUCAAUUGAAAUUCCAGUUGACUCUGUUACAUUCCUAUUUGCAAUGCUCGGCCAAGCUACUCAAAAUGGAAUAAUAGAACUAUGAGUUGGAAUAUUCUACUCUCUUAGCAUCUAGUUUCUUUAUCUACUCCGGACAGGAAGGACGUAUCUUCUCUAAGCCAAGACCAAAACUCAUAUGUAAGGUUUUCAUCCGUCACACAUGGGCUGGGCUAUAAUCCCUUAAUUUGAUACGAGUGGUUUCUUUAAUUCAGCAAGCUGUUUCGCAAGAACAAACAGUCAUUCAGAAAAAGCCAGCAGUGAGGAAGCAGUUAGGUCACUUUCAUUUACAUUCAUUAUGAAGCUUACGGUUACCUUAGUAUGGAAUAUGUGCACGAAACGAGCAAGGGAAAAGGGCCGACAUUCGUUCUUACUUAAAGGGCUCUCGCUAGGGAGCAAACAAACAAGCAAGCAAGGGAACACAAGGAAUCAGAUUUCGAAAGUUAGUGAGUUGUGCCGAUACUCCAUUUGAUAUUGAAGUAAGGAGUGAGUCAGCGCGCGGCAAGGGAAUAAAGGAAAAGCUGUUUCAGGCAGUUAGCGUUAGCACAGGGAAUUAAUAAGCGCUUAAGGCAGUUAGCGUUAGCACAGGGAAUUAAUAAGCGCUUAAGGCAGUUUGCUUCCCCACUUAUAGAUAGGUUGGUUCAUAUUCUUCAUCGAAAGUCAAAAAAGGAUCUAACAAAAAAGAGUCGACUACCUCACGACCAACGACUGCCUUCCUUCCUUCGUCUGCCUUCCUUCGGAAAAAGGGAGAAAUCACGAUUCAUGCUGCUAAAGGUCCGCAACACAUCUUUCGACCUUCGCUUAAACAUAAGAUGCACUACCUAUGCCCUCUGAUUCCGCGCAUCUCUUAGGGCAGCCCCCGCCAUACCAUAGUUGGAAUCUAGUCUCGGCAUCAAACCUACCCUUGAAAACGUCUUCUGUCCAAGCUCGCCUUUACCUCUUUUCACGUGAACAAGCUAUUCAGUACUGGGCGGUCCACUACUUCCGGGGAUUCGAGAGCACCUUGUAUUCGAUGCAUCUCAUCUAUGUCAUCUUCUAAAUCUGAAUCUGGCUAUCAUCCAUCUAAAAUAGAUAAUGCUGCAAAUCCUCCUCUUUUCUUUGACACCGACUCCUUUCUUAUAGAUGGCACCAAUGCUAUCGAAUAAGCCAAGCGAAAACAUGCGACUCCUACUGAGACUGCUGUUGAUUAUAAUAUUAGUUUGUCUUUCGAACUUUGCGGAUUUUAUGCCAUCAGAGAUUGACAGAGGGCUACUCGUUGAUUAACUCUCUCCUGAUCUGCUCUAGUACAUUCACAUUAAUUGAUUAACUCUCUCCUGCUCCGCUCUAGUACAUUCACAUGAAGGGGAAGGCCUGGCCAUUCGUAGCCAUUGCUUUUGCUAAAGAAGGCAUUCUAUUAUCAAAGAGAACCCUAUUUGUCCAAGCCCAAUGAAUGUGCAGUCCCUAUUAGCCUAUUCUCUGACCGGUUCCUCCACCAUUCUUUUUUGGACGCUACCUACCCUAACCUACUAUAAUUGCCGACAAGAACAGUCCUGUCCUCUCUAAGACCGAGUAAGAGGCUCUGUGCUCAUUCAAUCCAAUCACCUGCUUACAACCUAUCUGGGUGAAGUGAAAGGGGAAGUUCAAUUGAAAGGUUACUUUACUCAAUUAUAUCAUAAGCGUCAAUGACAAACCUUUGACUGCUAUUGAUUGUGGGUGUCCAUACUUACCGGCAAAAGAGAGACGUUCCCGAGCCAGCUUCUGAACUACAGGGCGUGCCUUCUUUGGAGAGAUGGUGAAUUUCUAGUAUAGGAGAAAAACACUCUGCUAUCUUUCUCUUUGGACAAGUUCCGCAAAACAAACUCGCAGGGGAUUCUAUCUCGCUCUCUUAUUUCCUGCUGAAAAAGAAGCUCACUCCAUUACUUUUGGGGUAGUCGAUUCAGGGGUACGAGAAACCCAUAGGGUACGUAGCAAUUAAAUCAACCUUGGAAGCUUUAAUCAAAUCAUAGUAGUGUUCAAAUAAGCAAGUAAUCAAAUAAGAAGUAUUAUUGAGAAGUGUGCUCACUUAUGAUAGAAUGAAAAGUCUAAGGUGCUCACUUAUGAUAGAAUAAAGUCAAUAAAGCUGUAAGGAGAUCCUUUCUUUCGCUUAGUAAGAGCAGAACUGGUUUUUGGGGCUUCUAUUGUUAUUUCACUAUUUCCAUAAUCUGGGGUAGGUAGUACAUACAUAUGGAUCUGAAUGGAUUAUGAUCUCUAAUGAACUGCGCCCUAUAUAAGUAGAAGCACUUUCCUUACCCGAAUAGAGUCUUCUCGUUAACAGCAACCCUAUCAAAGAGUAUAAGCACGCACUUUCUUUACCCGAAUAGAGUCUUCCAGUAUAGUAGUAAAGGCAAGGGUACCGGUAGCGAAUGUUGUAUCUAAUUCAUUCUGUUCUUUUCUUGUUGUGAGCUUUCUUCCCUAUUGACUCGGGGGCACCAUUUCUUAGAGCAGGAAAUGCGAAGGUUGCGCUUUCUUUCUAUUUAUGAGAAUACGAGACCCCGGAAACUUCAAAAAGCUAGGGUAGUGGGAUGGGCUCCGGGUGUAGGACAAGGACUGCCACAGGAACAGUAAGAGUGUUUGAUCCCUAUGGUUUUUUCUCAUUGAAUAUUUUGCACGCCGCGAGCCGUGGUUCUCUCGAGCGGGCUGGGAUGAUCUCAGACGGGGGCAGUACAUUAUCUAUGCCGGAGCAGUGUCAAGUGGUUCCAACUUUCAAAGAAUAACAGGAAAUAUAGGGGAAGGAAGGGGCUUAUCAUCAAAUAUCUAUGUGAUUGGAUUUGCACCAAAGGAAGGAACCCAACAACUCAGAAUUCCAUUCCAUAGUCUUAGUUUGAUAUCUCGACAAGUCAAUCAUAUUAUCAUUGUUUGUUUUCCAAGAAAUGAAGCAAGAUUGAUGGCCUGACAAAAGAGCUCAGAAUUGUAUGAUACAAACUGGGUUUACCCUUCUCCUCUUGGUUGUUGAUCUGGUCCCCAAAAAGAGUAAGGAAUAGAAGAUGCCCAUCUAUAAGAAAGCAUCGUUUCAAAGCUAGAAAUUCCACCUCAAUAUUACUACUUGGCUGACAUAAAUAAGAAACCCACCCAAUAGGAGCCAGAGAUCAAAUCAAUACCAGUCUCGUGUGUAGAAGCGCAGAUCAAGCUCUUUCUCUUCAAGCAUAUAAGAUCGCAGGAAAAAGUGGAGCAAAUAGAGAAAAGUCAGGCUUCGAAAAAAAGCACAAGCGAGAUCAACGACUAGUUGGCUAUGCUGGAAAGCGGGCGAUCAUAUUGACUUCCAUAAUCCAUCUCAUUGGCCCCUACUUUAGAGCCGUCUGAAGCAUCGAGCCUUAUUGAUGUGAAGGCACCGAGCUCCGUAUCUUUUCCAAGGCACGAUGCCCAUAUGCUCAUAUUAGAAUUCAAACUUCAGCAACUCAAAAACGCAUAUUGAAAUGAUAUUACUGUUCCGGUCCGAAUUCGCAAAACGUGGGUUCCAUCGAGAAUUGGAUAGGGUUUCCCAUAGUUCUCGCGAAUCAAGAGCAUUUGCUAGUAAAACCAUGUGAUGAAAUUCGAAUUAGCUAGUAUGACUAUGUGAUGAAAUUCCAUAAGAAUAAGAAGAUGAGGAUUCAUAUUCAUAUAAGAGGGAAGAGGAUUCAUAUAAGAGGAUUAGGAUUCAUAGGGAUGAGGAUUCAUUUUGGAUGGUUAUGGUUGUCUCGGUUUAUAUGGGGCUUUCGAGAUGAUGACGAAGGAACUAACUCAGCUUUCCUGUCUGGGAAAGGAUAUCCGUUUUUUACGACGCAAACGGAGCCGAAACAAACGGGCUCUCCACUCGGACCCUUUGAAGUUUGGAGGGAGGUCCAAAUCCAUCCUAUCAUGGCGCUGGUCUUACCGCUUUCAGGGGAUUCAUUUUCACAGAGCGCAACUAGACCAACAUCAACAAUUAGAAAUCUGGUAUCAAAUGAGUAAACACACUCAUCUAUUGUAGACAAGAGAAGAGGUAUUGUAGACAAGAGAAGAGGUACGACGGCCCCGGAUCGGAACUCAAGGUUGAGCGCGAGAUCAAGUCAAAGCUGGCAAUCCUCGACAGAUAUGCUUGAAAGUCAAAGCUGGCAAUCCUCGACAGAUAUGCUUUCUGACCUUUGCUCCAGAAGGAUUUCGGGGACAUCCGUAUGAAUCUUGAGAAAAUGGUUUCUAGUAUAGCCCUUGACAAGGAUAGAAACCAUAGAAAGGGUAAGCAAUGGAUAGGUUUGGUUCUUGUAUUACGGUAAGCGGACCGUGGAAGCAGUGGGGUAUUAUGAACAGAAUAGAGAUCUCCUUCAUUACCUUCCUUUUCUUUUUCUAUGUUUCUUUCAUUCUUAUUACGGUUUCCUCUGGGCAGACAUAAGCCUUUUCUUUUUCUAUGUUUCUUUCAUUUUUCUUUCGGUUUCCUCUGGGCAGACAUAAGAGAGAGAGCGCUUUAGUGAAGAGAAGUUCCGUCGGCUAGUAUAGUUUUUCACAACAGAGCUUUCUUCGCAUGAGAAGUCAUCUUUUUCAACCAAAUGAUCGCAAAUAUCAAUGAACAUAUGAUUGUAUAUCUACACUUUUACCCAUUUUGUCCCGUUGCUUGGCCCUAGCAGAUACUAACUACAAAGCUUGGCCGUUAUUACUUAGGAAGCGAGUGUGUCUCUUGACUCUGUUGAUGAAGCAUAAGCUGGAGCAGUUUCAGAAGCGGGUGAGGAAUCAGGUAAAUCCGGUUUGAAAGCAUAAACCUCAUUAUCCGGGUGAGUUUACAGCCCGGCUCCUUUUAUUUGAGUUCGAGUGUGCGAGUUAAGCGGUGCUGGACUUUUCUCUUAAGAAGCCGUGCAAAGUUGGCAAUCUUUUUCUCCUAUAUAUUUCUCCUAUAUAAAGAAUGAAUCGAUGUAUGAAAAUUGGACUGGAAGUUAUUAAGUUGGAGCAAGAUCUGGCGAGGAAGCACAAAGUGAAUGAGUUUCACCAUAUUAGUCAGAAAGAAGCCAACUCUCGAAUCUCAUGUCCUCUUUGGGAAUAACCUAUGAAUCUCAUGUCCUCUUUGGGAAUAACCUAUUAAUUUCAUGUCCUCUUUGAAUGGGUUGUUCAAUAAGGGAUUGACCUAAGGGGAAACAGAACUUCAAGCUGUGCUAUCUCAUGGACCACGGGAUGAAAAGAAGAAGGAAAGGAGGAAGAACAUAACGAUAAGAAGUAGCUAUCGGUCGGCUGCUUGAUUUUGACGGGAGUAAAGAAUAAGUGGGUGUUACGCCUUGCCUAAAAGCCAAAAGAAGCUUUCUUCGUUCCGGAGCCUCCAUUAAAGAAGCGGAAGGAUCAAUCAGUGAACUAGAGAGUGGAGUAGUUUAUAUAUAAAUGGUUUCAUCUUAAUUACUUCUAUGCUCGAGAGUUAAGGCAAGAGAGAUCAAAGAAGUUCCAUUCACUGUUUGACUUGACAAUCAUACGGGAUAGGUUAUUUACGUACUUCGAGCUGUAGGCAGAGUUUUAUCUGUAUGAAGCUAUCCAUUCAAGCCUGAAGUGGAGAAGACGUAUAAGGAGGUUUUGAAGUUGUCGACGAAGCGGUUCUCAAAAGGUUAACUCCGUAAACCGAUACGAAAUAAGGACUGGAUUAGUUGGCUAUUCAGAAAGUAGAGUGUCUUUGAGCGCUUGUCCCGUCUUUUAGUCGUCGGCUAACGGGAGUUCAUUCACAGGGGAGGGGGGCAAUAACCAAUUCUAAACUAGCUUUAGUAAUGGGGGGUCCAGUGAGAUUUGAUAUACAAACCUAUGACUCUCUUUGGGGGCUAACGUCAGUUGUGAACGAGAGAAUCUACAGUGUGGGUGAAAUCCUUAGUUUCAGUUACAAGAUCUGAGGCUGGAUCUUAAUCAGGUCAAUUAGGUGUUCAAGCGCUCGGCUCGAAAGAUUAUAUUCAUUACUUUCGGGGCGCUACUGGAGUUUCAAUGAAUUCUUUUACUUGUGCUAACAGAAAGGGUGUUGUUGACUCUAAGUAAGACUCUCGAGCUGGAUCAGACAGUUCCGUUUUAGUUUCAUCUAUAAGAUCCUCUCCGUCGGUUAAGUCAGCGGUAAGUGAUUCUGCAAGUUGAGUUUGACCUGAAUUUAUAUAAUAUGGAUCGUGGUAUUUUCAUUCUGUGUUUUCCUCUGCGCUAACAGGAGUCGUAAAGCGAUCAGAGGUUGGUGCUUGACUUACUUCUUUGUAUAUAGAAGAAGAGGCUAAGGCAUCAGCAGGAAAGUGGACAUCGACUCCAGAAUCCGUAGUGCAAUUACAUUCUGACUUUCGAGUUUACCUCGAGGCGAGAUAGAAUCAAUGAAUUCUGAAGCGUUAAGUCUCACGCCUGUUCCAGUUUUCGGCUAGGGUAAGAGUUCGGGUGUUGUCUUAGAGAGAUAUGGAUUCUCUUAUAUGUGAUGCUCUUAAAGCCAUCUUCUGCGCUCGAAACAAGUUCAAAGGGGUGUGUUUCCGUUUCCGUAUAAGUUCAAGUUGGAAGUUGAAGAAUGAUUUGUUGUGGUAGGUCCCACCUGUUAUAGCAUUGAGUAACCUUUUGGAGACGCGGACUUGAGAUGGGAUUAUUCCUCGGCCUCUCCUUGACGUGAAGAAAAAUCAUAUCUCUCUUUCUUUUGCAUAUAUAAUGAAUUCAGGAAUGUAGUAAAGCAUAAACUCCGUACUCAUCCUCGGCGCAUUAGGCUUAGUCCGAUAUAGUUCCUGUUUUCACUGGCAGUAGUUUAGUUCCCGUUUUCGUAUCUGCAUCAGUGGCUAGAGUGUCAGUUCAUUCUUUCCCUUCACAUUACUCACUCUUUCUUAUGAAUUGAGUACACCCUUUAUGUAAGUUCGUUAUAACCAAGUCCACCAAGCGUAUACUAACGAGUUUGAUUCUGACCUUUCCUACUUGUCAGUUUCAUUCCCAGUUUCAUCCGUAUUUAAGUAGUCGAGUAGUCCAGGACUUGAAGACCCGAUUUUCUUAGUGGUUGAAUUCUUUUAUGAGCAAGUAAAGCAUAAGGCAUAAUAACUUGCAGGUGCUUCAACUGGAUCUACAUUAGACCCAUGUUUUUCAAAGGAAGGCAGGAGCAGUCGCAGCUGGGUUUACGUCUACGUCUACUGGAUCACUGGCAUAAUAACUCGGCCCCUUAGGAUGCAGCUUCUACAGAUAUAGGUUCUUCCCUGGGCCAGGUGUGGUGGGAGAGCGGUCGAGCGUGCAAAGGCGCGAGCAACGUUUCUUCAAUGUUUAAAAGCGUGCAAAAGAAAAGGUCGGCUUUUGGCUAACGAUUCCAAAGAUUCUAUCAUCGAACAUCGAAUUCUUGGCUGGAAAAGAAAGGAACGAAAACAGAUUCAUCCUUUCUCUGUGCUUCCCCGUUCAAGAAAUGAAUUUCUUCCUAACAUCUUUAUGGGCGAAUCAAGUCUAGUUCAGGUUCAGGGUAAGUUAGUUUCCGUUUAAGAAUGAUUUGUGGUAAGAGUUGCCAUAGUGAUAGUUGCUUUAGAGGCUUAGUAGACAUAGGUGUAGUUAUCAUCAAUAGUUCAAUCAAUAGGGAGGCUUUCAGCACCUUCUGUUUACUUAAGCUGUUUGUAAAAGAGUGAAGUAAACUCCCUUCCCCAAAGCCCGGAAAGUGACCUCACCCAGAGUUAGUAAAGAAUCCAGUACUGCUGGGGCAGGUUAAGGUAUUUAAUGAAACUCCUAACUAAGUAGUAAAAGCAUGAAACAUAUACUAACAAAUUAUUGAUUUCUAAUCAGUAGACGGUUUUAAAGGUAAUUACCUGACUUUCGAACAGGAACAUUCCCUAGAACUGGAACAUUCCCACUUAUCUUAUAUCUUAUAUUAUAGAACUGAUUCCACUCAUUCACCUAGCGCUUCGUCACCAACAACAAGAGACUCUGACCUCGCUUCUGAUCCAGCUCUAUCUGAUGCUUUAGCCUCUUUUUAUCCUUAUUCUACUCCGUCAUCUUAUCCUUCUGCUCUAGUUUCAUCCAGAGUUUCAUCUUCCUGCUGUGACCCGCCAAGUAGACAAGCUUAUACUACAAACGCAAGACUACAAAUAAACUCAAUCAAGAUACUAUUCCAGAGUUAACCUGUAUUCAAGGCGUCAGUUCGGGAAAGCUAUCAGGCCAGGCAAGCAGAAAAGUAGUGCUUCAUCAGAACCAUAAGCAGGAGAAGUGAAGUUUACAAGAGAAUAAAGUAGUGCCAGUUAGGUCUACGAGAUCAUCACAAGUGCUUUCUUCGACCAUAAAGAUUAAGUGCGCGAAGGAGAGUCCAAUUAUCCAGUAGCAAGUCCUGUUAGUUUGGUCUUAUACUUAUUCUCUUUCUUAUCCCUAAAUUAGUCACACCCUUUUUUGUUGUGGUAUAUUUGAGUCACAGCAGAAAUAAGUAGAAAUUAGUAACAGAUGGAACUGUUCGAAAGUCUGGGUGCUUGGACUGUACCACUACAAGGGAAAGCUAAGCAUUAAGGUGAGGGUAAGGCAGAGGCAUAGGGUUCCGUUAAGUCAGAGGCAUAGGGUGAAGGUAUCGGUGAACAAGUCAGCAGUGAAAGCAGAUCCACAGCCAACUUACUAUAUGAGCAGCUCUAGUGAAACUCUGAUCUUUGUUCCAGAAGGUAAGCGGUUAAGUCAGAAGGAGAGUGAAGUUCUGUUCUUGUGUCUGUUCGAGGAAAGGAAACUCCAGCUAGCAAAUACAGGACUAGCUCAUAGCUAAUUAAUAUAUAUGAAUUUGUUCCUUACUCUCUAUGCCUUCGGGUGCGAGGGUUGGUUGUCAGUUAGGAAUACAUCUAGCUUCUGAACAGAUAAGUUAACAAGUAAGCUUCCGAACAGAGGUUUUGUAUCCUUAGGGCAAACACACUUAGAUUCUAUCUUAUCUAAUAGAACUGAUGAAAGUGCCUAAUUUGUUCAAAGAGCCAGCUGCUUUGUUUGUUUAAAGAGAAGAAAGAGAUGUUACCAGUUGCCUGCGGUAUAGUUAUAUGAGUUGAGGACCGCUUCCAAGUCAUUCAGUUAAAGCAAAGGCCAGGGCAGGGAAAGAAAGAGCGAGAUGGGGGUCGGGU
rnacentral:lncRNA from 1 species